rnacentral:lncRNA from 1 species
AGGGUGACCAGGGUUGUGACCAUAAUGUGGUGGCUUCUCUCCCUUAGGUGGUUUGCCAACUGGGGUUGGUGGCUUGUAUGAGUCUUCAGCAUUCUCAGCAGGAGGGUGACCAGGGUUGUGACCAUAAUGUGGUGGCUUCUCUCCCUUAGGUGGUUUGCCAACUGGGGUUGGUGGCUUGUGUUCUGGGAGUGGCUUCUCCCCCUUGGGAGGUUUUUCCAAUGGGGUUGGUUUGUGUUCAGGAGGUGGCUUCUCCACUGGAGGCUUGUGUUCAGGAGGUGGCUUCUCCACCGGAGGCUUGUGUUCAGGUGGUGGCUUCUCCACCGGAGGCUUAUGCUCUGGUGGUGGCUUCUCGAAUGGGGGAUGCUUAGGAUAAUCAGCAAGUGAGGGGGCGGUGAGAACCACCAGGCCAAGCAACACCACUAGCAAAUAUGUAGGAGACAUCUUUGGGUUUGGGCUCAGAUGGUGCAAAACUAGGAGAAUUGGCUAGCCUUUUAUAGCGGAUCGUACCCAAUAAUGAAAUGACACGUGUCAUUAUGACCCAUGUGUAAUGGGGUCGAUUUGGGUCCUACAGUGUUGAAAACUUCGACAUCCACUUUUGGCCUUUUGCUUUCUCUACAGCCGCCUUGCUUUUUCCCUCUUUCCUUUUGUUUUCCUCCUGCCCCAUUCUAUCAACUAAACACAAUUAUGUAGUUGUUUAAUUCUUAAAUGAGAUAUUAUCCGUCAAUCGUAUUAUAUUUUAUCAAGAGAGAACGGAGUGCAAUGUGGCUGUAAUUUUAUCGUUUAGUUUUAUCUCUUGGACCACUGCAUUUUUGUUAAGAGGUGCAAUAAUACACGUCUUUAUCUGCCAUUCAAUAUUUACAGUAAAGAGAGGGCACAAAACUCUUCACUUCGCACCAUAAUUAUUUUGUUUUCUGGACACCCCGGGGCCCUUUGGUUGGUUUGGGGGUCAGAAAGUGAACAUCAUAGGGGGUUUUUCCCUUAUGUGCAUUUGUAUCUGAUGGCUUUAACUCGCCUUGUUACUACAAAGAAACUGUCACAGAUAGGAACUUAUUCCAGGCUGAGUAUCUCCUCAUAGACCCUAUAAAAGAAGACAAGUCAUAAUGAACAUCUAACCUUUGUUCAAUUUGAUUCAAUGCCCCCAUUGUGUCCAUCUCACAAAUCUGAAUUAUUAUAUCCAUUGAAUACAUAAAUUAAUGAAGAAAAUAUGAAACCCAAGAUACAUCUCUGCACAACCUCAACCCUGGUUGCUAUGUUUCCCUUCUAUUCACAUGAUUUGAUGCUAAUUGCCAAACUUGCAACAAGCCCUGAGUUUGACACCUAGUAUCGAUGGGCGAAUUUAAAGUCUCCUCCAAACAUAUAUUCCACAGCUUGAAGCUCACAGAAGAUGUUACAGGCAGGGAAAAACCUUCAGAGUUCGCUACCAAAGAUAAUUAUUAAGGAGAUAUCACAAAGAGAAUUCCAAGGGGUCUGAAUCAAAGACAAAUUGGUCGUUCGUGGGGGUUCUUACUUUCUUUUGGGUAUAACUCACUGAGGGCACUGUCUUUGUUAUUUGCAUUUCACAUUUAGAGUUCUGUUCUGGAAACAUAUAAAAGGAGCAUCAUUUUGUUCUUGGGUAACCCAUAGUCGUGAGUGGGUCCAUUUGCAUGCUACUUAGUUGAAAAGUUGGACCAUUUGCUCCGACGCCUACCUCCCGGAUUCCAUGCUCGGAUAAAACAAGAAUAAAAAAAAUAUUUAUAAUUUACAAAUGGGGGAAAGAAAAAAAUGUCAACAACAAACCAGGAAAAAAGAGUAGUAAAAUUCAUGUCACAUGCUAGUGAGAGAAGGGGUUGUUACACUCACUCGAAGUUCUUUCCAAAAUAUCGCAUGGUAUUUUAUUUUAUGUGUCAGCGCAGUUGUGAAUGGAACGUGCAAAAGUCCAAAUUGGCGUUUUUCCUUUUCCCGUGUAGGAUGGCGACCUUUAAUAAAUAUUUAAAACAAAAAACGAAAAAAAGGAGGGAAAAGGGAUCAGAAAAGAUAAAACAAUGUGUACAAGAGCUCAAUUAGUUUGCAAAUUACUGUUUGGAUUUUGAUAGUAUUUUAUUUGUCCAUCUAUAUUUGAUGGAAAAGAGAAUUUAAGAUAUUUCUGAAACAAAAGCAUUAGUGUAAAACUAAAUUAAGGUAUAAUUAAGUUAGUUCAAUGCAUUAAUUUAAGAAACUUGAUCUAUCCAAAGUACAAAAUUAGAUGAAAUCCAUUUCAAUGGUUAAAAUGAUCAAAAUCAAACUUUUUCUAAGUAUUUUUUAAAAGCAUCAAUAUUAAAAGACAAUUUUAUAUUUAGUCGGAGUUUGGACAAAACCAAAAAGCACACAAAAUCCAAGCGACCAUCUCUAGCUUGGAUAGUCACUUGAUCCCACCUAGAGAUGUGCAUGAGUAAAAGGAUUUGAAAAUGGAAAUUGACUAAAUAUUUAGUUGAUCAAUUAAAUUUGCAAUGUCAUAUGCAAUCCUAAUAGCUAGUCAUCUAAUCAAUUAGGUAGUCAAUCAAGUGUUUGUAAUGACUAUUUUGUACAAAAAACCACAUGUAUAGUUAAAUAUAAUGCAUUUCAUUUAUAAAUCUUCUAAUUCUUGAAUAACGAUCCUAUCAUCCUUUGAAAAUUUUUAUUACACCUUUUUUACUUUUGUUCUAAAACUUACAUAUCACCCUUAAUUGUACCAUGAGAACCUAGCUAUUUUUUUUUUUUUUGUAAUUCAUCAAAGUUAGCUUUUGUAUUCAUUGUUGUAUUAUUUUUAGUAUAACUUAGAAAGCUAGUGUUUUCAAGUGAGUAAAAUUAACUUGUAAAUAUUGUAAAGAUUCAUUGAUAUGUAUCUUAAACUAAGUGUACAAAUUAAAACAUUUGCUAGUAGAUUUUCUCAAAAUUUAGAAUAGAGCUUGAGGCUAUUGAAAUAGGUGGGGUUACACCAAACCACAUCACAUCGUUGUUUGCACCUUUUUUCACUCUCUUUUACUUAGUUUCUCUAUAUUUGUUGUCUAGUAAUAUCCUAUAGGCUUGAUGGGUUAGGGAGCAUCCCUUUGUGAAAAAAUUUCAUUCAAUUCUUAGUUGUAUUACGCAUAUAUAAAAUGCCUCAUUGUUUUAAUGGUAUUCAGUCGUGGCAUCACAGAUAUGGGCAUCUAAAUUUUAAAAGUUUGAAACUUUUGUAAAGCAUGUUGAUAAAAUCCAUGAGAGUUGUGUACUUGGGAAGCAACAUCGAGGUGACUUUAUUUUUUUUUCCUUUUAUAAUGCCACACCUAAGUCCGGUUUCUAAAUGCUAAAGUGAAAGGGUAGGUAUGGACCAUUGAAAUGUGAUCACAACUUUUGGCCUUUUCCUUUCUCUGCAGCCAUGUUGUCUCUUUUUUCUUUUGCAUGAUUUUCUUACCAAAACAGAAUCAUAGACUUGUUUAGUCUCUAAGCUACUAUAUUAUAUCUCGGUGGACUUUUAAGAGUGCAACCGACAUAGAGCACAUGCAAGUGGGCAUAUGGGACAUGAAAUUUCUUCUUACAAAGAUUGCAUGAUUUUUAUAUUAGAGUUGUUCACGUGCAAUGUAUUUAGCUUGUUUUGCAGUUAAAUUAAUUGGAUAAGUAAACAUUGGCAUUUCUAAAUCGACUGUGAAGUGCUUCAUGUACGUGUAAAGUAUUAGAAAUUUCUUUCUUGGCAACUUGUUUUUUCCUUGCCAUCUACUGGUAGGUUUGACUAAAAUUAUAUUCCCUGUCAUGCUAAUUAAUUUUCAUGUGCAUGCUCAAAAGAAGAGUAUGACCUUAGUGCACCAAAAUCACUUUGAUUAAUUUGUGAUAGGUUUUUUUGCAUCAUUUAGAUAAUGUUUAGUUCUAAGAAAAAUUUAUAUAAAAAUGGUUUAUUUAUCUUACAUAUAUAUAUAUAUAUAUAUAUUUUUUUUUUUUUCAUUUUUUUUUCUUCUAUUUUAUUUAUUUAUUUUAUUUUCCUUAUGUUUUCCUCACAUUUUCCGGAACUAAACAUAGUCUUACGAAAUCAACAAUUGCCUUCAACUGAGUAGAUUCUGUUGUUUUAGCAAUGUUAGGCUGCUAACUUGUGGUGGUACGAACCAAAUGACCCAUGUUAAUCUUGGCUUGGUUUGAUUUGGCUCUAUCUCAGAGAGCUAAAGGAUCACGUCAACUCUGGUUUCUACUAUUCAGGUCCAUUCCCAGAUGAACUGGUUCAAAUUUGAGAAAAUGGUAACAGACCUUUAGUGAUGUUGGUUUGGAGCCAGUUGCCAAACCCGCCCUGAGCUUUACCACUAAUGUCAAGGGAGAAAGCCAUUUGAACAAAAACAAUAGCUUCAAGAGACUGAAUCGUGGAUGAAAUCUGAUCCACAUUUCUUCUCAUUUUGGGAAAAAAUGAGAACUUAACUACAAAGAUUCUACUGCCUCAUUCAUAGUGCUUUUCCUGAUCCAAGGUUGGUUCGUUUCCCAAAUUGUGAGGUGCACGUGCCACUCUCACGCUCAGGAGUGUAUCCACGUGGUGGACAUCAGAUGGUGGCUUAAUAUCUGGUGUCGGUGGCUUUACUUUACUAGGAGAGUAGUGUGUCUUCAUCUCAUUCACUGCCGGAGGGUGGCGUAAGCAGUGACGCUAAGGUGGGGCACAGUCAAUAUCAUUUGCAUUUGACCAUUAUAGUUUUCUCCCGGCUUGAAAGUAACCUUAUCGUGAUAAAGGAUUACUAGCACUAGUUCAGAUGACCGUCAUGUUAAUUCGGACCAUGUUUGUGUCACAUUAUCAGCAACCAUGUGUUUAUGGUUCAUGCUAUCUGCAACUAAACUUGAUAUAUAACCAGGUGAACUUCAAUCAAAAUUCUGGAAGUACUCUUGUGAUAGAUGGUGCCUGUCUGCAGAGUCCAUCAAUUGAAAAAUGGAGUGAGUGUAUCUAUAAGAGGGAAGGCUUGGCAAAUGUUCAGUUUUCUGGGAAUUCAACAAGGAUCUAAAAUAGAUUGUUUUCUUUGCCGACUUCAAUGGUUGAAAUUUGAGAAGAUUGUGUCCACAUAUCACAACUAUUACUGGUCCUUCUGUUGCAAUUUAUCCUGUAAGGCUCUAACAUGUCUUCCAAUUCCCACUUCCCUGUUACUCCAGGAAAGCUAUUUCUGUCAUUGUGAAGAAGAAAAGAGAAUGUACAUAUCGAUGCUUUUAAGUGACUGGAGCAUUCAUAUCAGGUGGUCUGCAGCCAUAUAUGCCACUUUGUGAAGGUUGGAACAGUCAAUCACUAGGCUAUAUAUUGGUGUGGCCCAGCCACUUCAAUCAAGGACAAGUCUUCAUACUUAAAGUCAAAUUCUGCCUUUAGUCUCAUUAUAAAUUGCUGUUUAAAUAUUAAGCAAACUUUUGUUUAAUGCGAUUAAGACAGUACUAACUCAAUACUUGUUCUAUUUUUGGAUGCAAAUGCUUGAUGGUUUCAUCAUUGGAUGGGAUAAAGGUGCAUUCAUGAUUAUGAAUACUUGUAGUUAUAUUUUCAUUCUCUUUUUUCUCAAUGAGACUUGUUGGCACAAUGUUGCUGUUCAGAAACCUACCUCUCCAUGGAAAAUAAGUUGCGAUUGAUAGUACUGGAUAUGUUCAAGAAAGCUAAAUAUAGAUAGCACAAAAUAUUAUCGAUAUAAAUAGCAUUAACAGCGUACGUAUGUCUCAAUGCUCAUCAGCUAUAAGCAUGGGACAAACACUUACUAUGAGCAACUUACGUCAAAAUUCCAGAAUAGGACAUAGAAGUGACAGAUCUAUAUAUAUAGAACACUGCAUAUGAGUCACAAGAAAGGAAAUUACGGGUGCAUAGCAGCUCUUAUUUUACAUACUACUACUCAUACUGAUCAAAGUCACUCAGUUGGGAUGGGUGGGAGUAGGAGGUUUGUGGGGUGGCUUGUGCGGAGGAGUUGGCAGCUUCUUUCCAGGACCUGGUUGCUUCUCUGCUGGAGUUGAAGGAGGCUUAAUCUUCCGAGGUGGCUUGUAUGAGUCUUCAGCAUUCUCAGCUGGAGGGUGACCAGGGUUGUGACCAUAAUGUGGUGGCUUCUCUCCCUUAGGUGGUUUGCCAACUGGGGUUGGUGGCUUGUAUGAGUCUUCAGCAUUCUCAGCAGGAGGGUGACCAGGGUUGUGACCAUAAUGUGGUGGCUUCUCUCCCUUAGGUGGUUUGCCAACUGGGGUUGGUGGCUUGUGUUCUGGGAGUGGCUUCUCCCCCUUGGGAGGUUUUUCCAAUGGGGUUGGUUUGUGUUCAGGAGGUGGCUUCUCCACUGGAGGCUUGUGUUCAGGAGGUGGCUUCUCCACCGGUGGCUUGUGUUCAGGAGGUGGCUUCUCCACCGGAGGCUUAUGCUCUGGUGGUGGCUUCUCCACCGGAGGCUUAUGCUCUGGUGGUGGCUUCUUGAAUGGGGGAUGCUGAGGGUAAUCAGCAAGUGAGGGGGCGGUGAGAACCACCAGGCCAAGCAACACCACUAGCAAAUAUGUAGGAGACAUCUUUGGGUUUGGGCUCAGAUGGUGCAAAACUAGGAGAAUUGGCUAGCCUUUUAUAGCGGAUCGUACUCAAUAAUGAAAUGACACGUGUCAUUAUGACCCAUGUGUAAUGGGGUCGAUUUGGGUCCUACAGUGUUGAAAACUUCGACAUCCAGUUUUGGCCUUUUGCUUUCUCUACAGCCGCCUUGCUUUUUCCCUCUUUCCUUUUGUUUUCCUCCUGCCCCAUUCUAUCAACUAAACACAAUUAUGUAGUUGUUUAAUUCUUAAAUGAGAUAUUAUCGGUCAAUCGUAUUAUAUUUUAUCAAGAGAGAACGGAGUGCAAUGCAGCUGUAAUUUUAUCGUUUACUUUUAUCUCUUGGACCACUGCAUUUUUGUUAAGAGGUGCAAUAAUACACGUCUUUAUCUGCCAUUCAAUGUUUACAGUAAAGAGAGGGCACAAAACUCUUCACUGCUCUGCAUGUGUCCCAAAAAUGCGAUUGGACAAAUUAUGAUUUGCAUGCUAAAAAGAGGCAAAUGAGGUUAAUUCGCACCAUAAUUAUUUGGUUUUCUGGACACCAUAAAAAGAUGUUAUACAGGCAGGGAAAAACCUUCAGAGUUAGCUACCAAAGAUAAUUAUCAAGCAGAUAUCACCAAGAGAAUUCCAUAGAGUCUGAAUCAAAGACAGAUUGCUCGCUCGUGGGGGUUCUUACUUUCUUUUGGGUAUAACUCACUGAGGUCACUGUCUUUUUUAUUUGCAUUUCACAGUUAGAGUUCUGCUCUGGAAGGUUUGUUCUGGAAACAUAUAAAAGGAGCAUCAUUUUGUUCUUGGGUAACCCAUAGUCGUGAGUGGGUCCAUUUGCAUGCUACUUAGUUGAAAAGUUGGACAAUUUGCUCCGACGCCUACCUCCUGGAUUCCAUGCUCGGUAAAACAAGAAUAAAAAAAAAUAUAUAAUUUACAAAUGGGGGAAAGAAAAAAUGUCGGAAAAAAUAGUAAAAUUCAUGUCACAUGCUAGUGAGAGAAGGGGUUGUUACACUCACUCGAAGUUCUUUUCAAAAUAUCGAAUGGUAUUUUACUUUAUGUGUCAGCGCAGUUGUGAAUGGAACGUGCAAAAGUCCAAAUUGGCGUUUUUAUUUUUCCCAUGUAGGAUGGUGACCUUUAAUAAAUAUUUAAAACAAAAGACGAAAAAAAAAAGGAGGGAAAAGGGAUCACAAAAGAUAAAAUAAUGUUUACAAAAGCUCAAUUAGUUUGCAAAUUACUGUUUGGAUUUUGAUAGUAUUUUAUUUGUCGUUCUAUAUUUGAUGUAAAAGAGAAUUUAAGAUAUUUCCGAAGCAAAAGCAUUAGUUUGCUCUGUGAUGUCCCACAUCGAAUAGGGGAGAAAGUUUCUGGCGCUAUAUAUGUAGAGGCUCCUCUUAACCAAGUAGAUGCGUUUUAAAACCAUGAGGGCCCCCUUAGGUCCAAAGCGGACAAUAUCUACAUGAUUGGGUGUAAGUCAUUACAAAUGGUAUCAGAGCCGAUCCCCGACCCCGGUGUGGGGGUUUGUUUGGCCCUGUAAGGGGUGUUUGUCUGUUUGACCCCACAAUCCCAUGGGACACAACGAGGACGUUGUGUCUGCAUGGGGGGGCGUUUGUGAUGUCCCACAUCGGAUAGGGGAGAAAGUUCCUAGUGCUAUAUAUGUAGAUGUUUCUCUUAACCAAGUAGAUGCAUUUUAAAAUUGUGAGGGCCUCUUUGGGCCCAAAGCGGACAAUAUCUACAUGGUUGAGUGUAAGUCAUUACAUGCUCCAUGUCAAUUUCAGCAUUUCUCAUAUGUUUCACACAUACACAGAAGAGCAUCGUUUUUUAAAGCAUGCAUUUAUGUUGGAUUAAUUUGGAUUUUGUGGGAACUGGGGCAAGGAUCACAUGGAAGAGAGGUUGACUUUUUUCAGUACUUCAAUGGUUGAAAUAUGUGAAGGCUUGAUUGAUACUAAAGCUUGAAAUUGCGACUCUGUCAUUUGUAAAAAAAUAUGACAGCUUCCAUGCUCUCGUUUGGUUGCAUUGUCCGGUCGAGAGGUGCAAAAAGCAUUCUCUCUCUUCUAAUAGUCUUUUCGUUUAAAUCAAGGGAUUUGCCUUCCCGGUCGAGGUCCAAUAGAGGGUAACGGUCACCUACUAAACAUUAAAUGCUCCAACAACUAGUGAACUGAUCGACCCCAGCUCGACUAGUUGAGGUUACUUUUUGGUUUUCUUGUCUCCCGAGGUUAGAAACCUAUAAAUAGAGAGCUUCACUUCAUUUAUGAGUAAGAGAACACCUAAAUUUAUUUGUUUACCUACUUGUUUUUGCCAUAAAAGCUCUCAUUUCUUUUCUUGGUGUAUUAAAUCUCCAUUUGCAUAUCCUUUAGUGCACCUUUGUGAUUCAUUCUAGCCUUGAGUUGUAUUUAAGCCUUUGUUGAGCUAGGUUGAGAGUUUCAUACUUGUUUAUUGAGUGUUAAAGCCUUCAAGUGAGUUAAAACUUGAAGAGAUUGUGUAAGAGCCCAUUGGAGUCGGAAUCCAAGUGUAAAGGUGAUUAAAAGCUUGGUUGAAGCUUCAAGUUAGUGGAACUCUCACUCGGUUAUGAGCUUGAGAAGAGUGGACAUAGACAAGGCAGUGUCGAACCACUAUAAAAUCUGAGUUUGAUUUCUCUAACCUUAUCUCUUUAUAUUUGCUUCUCUUGUGCUUAAAUUUUUUGUGUUUAAAAAGAAUUUUUAAAAACUCAAUUCACCCCCUUCUUGGGAGUUUUUCUCUUUUAAGAUCAGCUUUUAUUUUCUCAAUUGGUAUCAGAACUAUGCCUCUUGUUUAAGACUUAAUCGUCUAAGAGGAAAUGGCUAAUCCAUCAAGUUCAUCUCACAUUGAAAGUUUUGCAACCAAUAGACUUCUUUUUUUUUUUUUGCGGGAACUGAUUAUCCCUAUUGGAAAACUAAAAUGACUUGGUUUUUACAAUCAAUUGAUUUAGAUGUAUGAGAUGCCAUUGAAGAUGACCUAACUUUUCCUUCAAAACUAGUUGAUGGAGUCAUGGUUCCAAAACCUAAGCAAGAAUGGGAUGAGCGUGAUUGAAGAAAUUUUCAAUUAAAUGCUAAAGUCGUUUAUACUUUGCAAUGCUCUAUGGACAGAAAUGAAUAUAAUAGAAUAUGUCAAUGCAAAUCGGUUAAAGAAAUUUGGAGAUUGCUUGAAAUAACUCAUAAAGGAACAAAUCAAGUUAAAGAGUCAAAAAUCAAUUUACUUGUUCAUAGAUAUGAAUUGUUUUUUAUGAAAGAUAAUGAAACUAUUGUUAAGAUGAUCACUAGGUUCACCAACAUUGUUAAUGGUCUUAAAGCCUUGGGAAAGACCUACAAGGAAUCCGAAAACGUGAUGAAGAUCUUGAGGUCACUUCCAUCAAAGUGGCAUACCAAGGUCACCGCAAUUUAAGAAGCAAAAGACUUGAUCAAGCUACCUUUGGAGGAGUUCAUAGGGUCAUUGAUGACAUAUGAAAUCAAUUUGGCAAAGAAGUAACAAAAAGGUGAAGACAAAAAGAAGAAGAACAUAACUCUCAAAGCUACAACUAAGGAAGAAGAAGUUGAAGAAGAAAAACAAAUUGAAGAAGAUGAAGAUUUAGCCCUCAUCACAAGAAAGUUCAACAAAUUCAUGAGGGGUGAAAGGUUUAGAAGAAGAAGGUUCACUUCUAGAAGAGACUUUUCUAAAAAGGAAUCUUCAUCUAAUGGUGACAAAAAGAGAUGGGAAGAGAAAAGAGACUUGGUGUGUUUCAAGUGCAAGAAACCGGGACACAUUAAAUAUGAUUGUCCUCUCUACAAAAGUGAAGUCAAGAGGAAAAAGAAUAAGGCAAUGAUGGCCACUUAGAGUGAAAGUGAAGAUGAAUCAUCCGAAGAAGAAAAUGAGAAAGAAGUGGCAAACAUGUGUUUCAUGGCAAUAGAUGAACUUGAUGAGGUAAAAUCUAACCUUAGUGAUUAAGAUAUACAUGAUGCAUUUGAAGAAUUGUAUGAGGAUUUUUAAAAACUUAGUUUGAAAAAUAUUUCUCUUAAAAAGAAAGUUCAACAACUUGACAAAGAACUUAGAGAAGUAAAAGAAAAAUUUUCAAAUGUUAAAGUUUCUAAAACUCAUCUUGAAAAAGAAAAUGAGAUUCUAAGAAAGAAAAAUGAAUAGUUGAACUCCUCUCUUUCAAUCUUUUCUUCUAGACAAAAAUCUUUUGAAAUGAUUCUAACUAGCUAAAAAUGUGUUUUUGACAAACAAGGGUUAAGAUUUAAAUCUUCAAAAAAUCAAAAGUAUUUUAAAAACUAUUUUGUAAAGGAAUCCACAAGUGCAAGUCCUUCCACUACUUGCAACUUUUGUGGAAGAGAAUGGCACAUUAGUAGUACGCCCUUUAAGAAAUGGUUCUCAAAAGAAUUUAAAUGCAAAAACUAAAAAAGAUUUGGAUUGAGAAAUCCAAGGUCACUAACCCUCAAGGACCCAAAAAGAUAUAGGUACCUAAAUCAACUUGAGUUUUAUGUUGUAAGGUUCAAAGAAUGAUAAGUGGUUCUUAGAUAAUGGUUGCUCAAGACACAUGACCGGAGAUGAAUCCAAGUUUGCUUUUCUUAAAAAGAAAAAUGGAGGAUAUGUUACCUUUGGAGACAAUGCAAAAGAAAGGAUGAUUGGUCAAGGCAACAUUGGUAAUGGCACAUCCUCUCUCAUUGAAAGUGUUUUAUUAGUAGAUGGUUUCAAACAUAACCUUUUAAGCAUUAGUCAAUUUUGCGACAAAGGUUUUUAAGUGAUUUUUUAAGCAUCUCAUUGCAUCAUCAAGGAUAUUCAAAAUGAUAAAACCAUUUUCAUGGGCCAUAGAUGUGAUAAUGUUUAUGCUAUAAAUAUUUCAAAAUAUGAUGGCCAUGAUAGAUGUUUUUCAAGCAUGCAUGAUCAAAGUUGGUUGUGCCAUAGGAGAUUGAGACAUGCUAACAUAGACCUCAUUUCCCAACUCAACAAAGAUGAACUUGUUAGAGGCCUUCCCAAAAUAAUUUUUUAAAAAGAUAAAGUUUGUGAAGCUUGUCAAGUGGGAAAGUAAAUCAAAAACUCUUUUAAAAACAAAAACUUCAUUUCCACAUCUAGGCCACUUGAGUUGUUGCAUAUGGAUUUAUUUGGUCCCUCUAGGACACCAAGUCUUAGAGGAAAUUCUUAUGCAUAUGCUAUUGUGGACGACUUCUCUAGAUACACAUGAGUCUUGUUUUUUAGUCAAAAGAAUAAAGUUUUUUAUGAGUUUUCAAAGUUUUGCAAUAAGAUUCAAAAUGAAAAAGGUUUUUCAAUUACUUAUAUAAGAAGUGAUCAUGGGAGAGAAUUCGAAAAUAUUGAUUUUGAAGAGUAUUGCAAUGAGCAUGGAAUUGACCACAAUUUUUUGGCUCUUAGAACUCCUCAACAAAAUGGGGUAGUUGAAAGGAAAAAUAGAACUCUUCAAAAAAUGACAAGAACCAUACUAAAUGAAAACAACUUACCAAAAUAUUUUUAGGCCAAAACGGUUAACACUUCUUGUUAUGUUUUAAAUAGAGUAUUAUUGAGGCUCAUACUUAAGAAAACUCCCUAUGAGCUUUGGAAAAACAAAAAACCCAACAUUAGUUAUUCCAAAGUCUUUGGAUGCAAUAUUUUAUAAUAAACACCAAAGACAAUCUUGGAAAAUUUGAUGCAAAAUUGGAUGUUGGAAUUUUCCUUGGUUACUCAACUUCAAGUAAAGCUUUUCGAGUUUUAACAAAAGAACCAUGGUUGUAGAGGAGUCCAUCCAUGUUAUUUUUUAUGAAUCUCCAAGAAAGAGAGAGGAUUGAUGAUGAUUUAGGUUUGAAGACCUCUAUAGGAAGAUUGCAAAUCGAAGAUAGAAGACAACAAGAAGAAAAUGGAGAGAAUCCAAAGAAAGAAGGAUCACCAUUGGCACUACCCCCUCAUCAACAAGCGCAAGGUGAAUCAAGUCAAGAGCUUCCUAAAGAAUGGAAGUUUGUCAUCAAUCACCCACAAGAUCAAAUUAUAGGCAAUCCAUCUAGUGGGGUAAGAACUAGAUCCUCUCUUAGAAAUAUUUGCAAUAAUCUAGCUUUUAUCUCUCAAAUUGAGCCUAAAAAUAUAAAUGAUGUUUUAGAUGAUGAAAAUUGGAUAAUUGCAAUGCAAGAAGAGUUAAAUCCAUUUGAAAGAAGUGGAGUAUGGGAAUUAGUACCAAGACCUUCAAAUCAAAGUGUUAUUGGAACUAGAUGGAUCUUUAGAAAUAAAAUGGAUGAAAAUAGCAUAAUUGUUAGAAAUAAAGCAAGAUUGGUAGCCCAAGGUUUUAAUCAAGAAGAAAUGAUAGAUUAUGAAGAAACCUUUGCCCCCGUAGCUAGGUUGGAAGCCAUUAGGAUGCUACUUGCCUUUGCAUGUUUUAAAGACUUUGUUUUAUAUCAAAUGGAUGUGAAAAGUGCUUUUUUAAAUGGUUUUAUAAAUGAAGAAGUAUAUGUUGAACAACCACCCGGUUUUCAAAGUUUCAACUUUCCUAACCAUGUUUUUAAACUUAAAAAGACACUUUAUGGUUUGAAACAAGCACCUAGAUCAUGGUAUGAAAAAUUGAGUAAAUUUCUUUUGAAAAAAAUGUUUUAAAAUGGGAAAAAUUGACACAACUCUUUUUAUAAAAACCAAAGAAAAUGAUAUGCUCUUAGUUCAAAUAUAUAUUGAUGAUAUCAUUUUUGGUGCUACUAAUGUCUCUCUUUAUGAAGAAUUUUCUAAGUGCAUGCAUAGUGAGUUUGAAAUGAGCAUGAUAGGAGAACUCAACUUCUUCCUUGGACUUCAAAUCAAGCAACUAAAGGAAUGAACCUUCAUCAAUCAAGCAAAGUAUAUAAGAGAUCUUCUCAAAAGGUUCAACAUGGAAGAAGCCAAAACAAUGAAGACUCUAAUGAGCUCAUCCAUUAAGCUUGAUAAGGAUGAGAAAGGUAAAUCCAUUGACUCUAUUAUGUAUAGAGGCAUGAUAGGUUCUUUGCUCUAUUUGACCACUAGUAGACCUUACAUUAUGUAUAGUGUGUGUUUGUGUACUAGAUUUCAAUCUUGUCUUAAAAAAUCUCACUUAAGUGUCGUGAAAAGAAUCCUCAAAUAUUUGAAAGGGACAAUGGACAUAGGCUUAUGGUAUCCUAAGAGUGAUAACUUUGAAUUAAUUGGUUUUUUGGAUGCUGAUUUUGUCAGUUGUAGGGUUGAAAAAUAAAACACUAGUGGCACUUUUCAUUUCUUAAGACACUUACUUGUCUCAUGGCAUAAUAAGAAGCAAAAUUUGGUAGCUUUGUCAACAGCAGAAGCUAAAUACAUAGCAACUGGUUUAUGUUGUGCACAAAUCCUUUGGAUGAAAUAAACACUUAGUGAUUUUGAUUUAUCUUUUGAGCAUAUUCCUAUUAAAUGUGAUAAUAGUAGUGCCAUAAGUAUAUCAAAAAAUCUCGUGCAACACUCUAGGACUAAGCAUAUAGAGAUUAGACAUAAUUUUCUUAGAUAUCAUACACAAAAGGAUGAUAUAACACUUGAAUUUGUAAGCAUAAAAGACCAACUUGCCGAUAUCUUUACAAAACCUCUAAGAACAUUUUGUUGAUAUUAGAGGACAAUUAGGAGUGAUUUCUUUAUGAUCUAAUGUGAUGAAUUCUUGAUGAAUAUACUUUUUGAUUGCAUGAAUUUCAUGUCAUAUAUGCAUCAUAUAGAAAUAUACUUAGAUAAUGGUCAAAUUUCGACCAAAAAUCAAAAUUCCCAUGGCAUUAGGCAUAAAAAUUUUGGAAUUUCAACUGAAAAUGGUAGGAGGAGGAUCACAAAAUGAGAAAGUAUGCAAAAAUUGAAAAAUCAAAACGUUGACCAAGCGGUCAAUCGGACUAGACCGAUCGACUAGUUUGUCGAGAUUUAGGAUUUUUAAGAGACUCCAACGCUUCAAUUUUUGCACCGUUCUCCUCUAUUUCUUCACGGUUUCUCUGAUUUUGUCUUUUAGAGACUAAUUUGAGUGCGUUUUGGAUCAAUUGAAGCAUUUUGGAUUGGAUUUUAGGAAGAUUGAAAGUUAAGGUUUCGGAUUUGGGUCGCCUUCUCUUCCUCUCGCGUGUCACAAUCAGCUUUAGCAUUGUUCUCUUUCCAUUUUCACACACCUAGGGUUUCAGUUGUGAGCAUCUCUCUCUCUUUACCAACCACUACUCCCUUGCUUCUUCCAUAUGGCUCCUAGGCGAGAGUCCGCUACUUCUAGGGCACAAGGCAAGCACCCAACUGAGUCGUCUCAGUCAAAGGCACGUCGAAAAGUGAGAUUUGACAUUGCCUUGUUCAGUUCCAUGGAGGACUACCAACUAUACAAGCAACACUUUGCUUAGAGACGAGUAGUUCCCAAGAGAAAUAUUAAUUUUCCUCAACUUCAGCAUUUCGAAUUUAAGGGUCUAUUUACUAGGAUGGUUGGUUGUCUAUUGUCACAAUUUCGGAGCCGGUUUUCCUGACCUUAGUGCGAGUUUUUUACUCGAGGGCGACUUAUGGCAUGGGUGGCAUGAUCAUUUCUACUGUUGGAGGAGUUGAGAUCUGUCUGGACCCAGAGAGCAUCUGCCAUAUUUUCGAUAUUGCUCUGGUUGGACUCAAAGUAUACAAGUCCAAAAUGUGGCCCAUUGUGCCAGGAUUUGAGCUUAGAGAGGUCAUUCAGAGGAUUUGUGAACUUCCAGACGCCCAGGAGAUGGGCAAACCAUUGCCACACAGUUUGACGGUCAUCAACAGGGUGCUACACCAUAUAUUGUGCUCUAUCUUUCUACCACGAAGUGGACAUUGAGAUGAGGUCUCUUAUUAUGAGGCAUUCCUUAUUGACUCCAUUCUAACGGAGAGACGAAUUCAUCUACUAUGUCAUCAUUCACUAAGCCUCCUCACAGUGACAUACCACCUCAUCAGGCACCUCUUGCUCCUGACCAUGCUCCAUUGAUGGAUUUAUUUACUCAUAUUAGCUCUCUAGGCACUCGCAUGAAGGAGUUUGUUGUAGUUAGUGAUACAUGGUUCUACUCCAUAGAGGAUCGCAUGGAUCAGUAUCAGACUGGCUUCACGUCACAGUUUGAGUAUCUCCAAUAGAGGAUUGAGCAUAUUGAGGAUCACUUGAGCAUGAGAAGAUGAUGGCUUUUCUAUGCUCUGUGUUUCCACCUCCACCUCGUCAACCUUGAUUUCUUAGAGACCCAUUGUUUUCAUUUUGUAAUGUUGCCAAAAGGGGGAGAUAUUUAGGAUCUAGGACUCUAUAGGAGACUUACAUGCAUAUCAUUUUCAUAUCAUUGUUUGGAUCGUACAUAUUGGAUAGUGAUACUUUUUACUUAUAUAUGAUAUGCCUAUAUGUUUCAUGUCUUACAUUGUUUCUUAUUGCAAAUUAUCUCUAACAUGUCUUGAUUAUCUUUUUUUUAACUUCAUAAAUUUUGAUUGUUAACCCAUGAUUGGUUUGAGGGGAAGAUUCUUCUUCUCCUAGAUAACCAAGGUUUGUCAUCAUAAAAAAAUUGGAGAUUGUUAGCCCAAGGGUUCUCCUAAUCAUGUUUUGAUGAUAACAAACCAUGCUUAAGUUACUAAUUGGUUUGAAUUAUAAAGAAUUUCAAGUGUUAAUUUGAAAAUUCAUCAAAGAACCUAAUGGAUGCAAGAUCAAGAUUUUUGGAAGACCUUUAAUCAUAAGAAACAUAUGUAAGAUGAAUGCAUGGGUGCACUUAAGAUUUGCAUAUCAUUUCAUGCAUAUUUGGAAAACACGGUUUAUGCUUUAAAGUUACAUUUCCAUCAAAAUUUGAGAUCCAUCAAAUGAACCUUAGGAAAAAUGUUUUAAAAUUGGCAUAUAAUUUUACCUAAAGACCUUGCCUAAGUGUUAGAAGCAAAAGGACAAAAAAAAUAUAGGUUUUCUGGUCAAAAAUGGUGAACCAGUCAAGGCAUUGUCUAAAUCAGCUCAAUCGGCCAAGGUACCGGUCGAUCGGUUUCCCUUUCCCUGUCGAGAUCUAGUCAAGAGGUACAAAAAUCACAAUCUCUGUCUCUUUCUCUCUUUGUCUAUCUUCCAGUAGUCUUUCCUUCCCGGUCGAGGGAUUUGCCUUCCCGAUUGAGGUCCGAUUGAGAGUAAUAGUCACUUGCCAAAUAUUAAAUGCUCCAACAGUUAGUGAACUGGUCGACCCCCACCUUGCCCAGUUGAGGUUACUUUUUGGUUUUCUUGGCUCCCGAUGUUAGAAACCUAUAAAUAGAGAGUUCCACUUCAUUUAUGAGCAAGAGAACACUUGCAUUUAUUUGUUUACCUACUUGUUCUUGCCUUAAAAGCUCUCAUUUCUUUUCUUGGUGCAUUAAAUCUCCAUUUUGAUAUCCUUUAGUGCACCUUUGUGAUUCAUCUUAGCCUUGAGUUGUAUUUGAGCCCUUUUUUUAGCUAGGUUGAGAGUUUCAUACUUGUUAAUUGAGUGUUAAAGCCUUCAAGUGAGUUGAAACUUGUAGAGAUUAUGUGAGAGUCGAUUGGAGCCGAAAUCCAAGUGUAAAGGUGAUUAGAAGCUUGGUUGAAGCUUCAAGUUAGUGGAAUCCUCACUCAAUUAGGAGCUUGAGGAGAGUGGACGUAGCCAAGGAAGUGUCGAACCACUAUAAAAUUUGAGUUUGAUUUCUCUAACAUUGUCUCUUUAUAUUUGUUUAUCUUGUGCUUAAAUUUAUUGUGUUUAAAAAGAAUUUUUAAAUACCCAAUUCACCCCCCUCUUGGGUGUUUUUCUCUUUUAAAAUUAGCCUUUAUUUUCUCACAAACUAUUGUAGUAUAGUGGUUUUUAGGUGUCAUCCAUUAGGAUGAAUUGUUCUCGGUAAUUAAGGCGUGAAUGAGAGGAGAAUUAAUGAUUGUGAUUAAGUAAAAUUGAUUUGAAAAUUCAUGGUGAAAAAUCAAUUUAACAAUGGUUUCUAAUUGAGAAAAACAAUGAAAUGUGAAAUAAAAUAAAAUUAAUAGGAAAUGAAAUUCUCGAAGUUAGAAUUUUCUAAAAAACAAAUUCCAUGGUGAAUGGAUGUUGAGAUCUAAUUUUCAUCAAGUUAGAUUGAAAACCGAAAUUUUCAUAUAAACUGAUUUUUUAUUUAGUUUUAGGUCUAGAUUUAAUUUCCCUUAAAAUUAGGUUAUUUAAUCCAAGAAAUCAAUUCAAAUCAUAUAUUCAAUUCAUCUUAAAUUAUCUUCCAAUUAUUCACACAAUGCAACUAUUCAAUCUCAUCAAAUCUAGCUUUUAAGAAUUUAAUGAAUCUACCUAGUUUGCAUUGUAAUAGUCAUCCAUGACAAUUUGAAGAGAAAAAUAAUUCAAUUAAUCAAUCACUUGGAUCAAAUUACCUUUGCAAUUAAAGUUCAUUUCUCUAAUUCACCACAGAUUUUGUCUCUAGAUCCUCCUUUCUCAAAGAAAAAUGAGAUUUAGCCACACAUGAUUGGAGAUUUGGUCUCAUAAGGCAUGUUUAGCUAGUGAUAAAAUGAGAGAAAAUAAAGAAAAAUAGAGAAUUCGAUUAAGAAAGAAAAUCUAAAAAAUUCUACAAUUAGAAAUGUCCAAAAAGCUUUUUCAUGAGAAAAUCAAGUUUCUAUUUAUAGGCCAAGGUCAAGUGGACACUUGACAUCAUCUAAGAGGUCUUCCGGAAGCUUCUUCAUCAAGAAAUCUGGAGUUUAAUAAUAAAAUGGUCAUUUCACAAGAGCUCAAACAAUUUCGCAUGAUUAUGUGAAAUAAAAAAUGCAACAACAGCAAUUUACAUCUUCUUGGAGCAUUUCGCAUGACUGUGUGAAAUUUUCACAUGAUCAUGUGGAAUCGACUUGACAACUCUCAUUUAGCCUACAACAUAAUUCCACCUUUUGGUCCAUUUUUCAUAGUCAUGCGAAAUGGAAAUAUUUGAUUUUUAAGUUUUCUUUUGUCAUUUCUUUCAUUUCCUUCUCUUGAUUCCACUUCAACUACCUCCGAAUCCUGGUCCAAACCAAUUGCAUUACUUCUUUCAUUAUGCAUUUGGAUCAUCAUCAACAUUAUUUGUUCUCUUCAAUUUGAUUCAUCUCUUUUGUCACCAAUUUAUCAAAAUCAUACCUUGAAAUGACUCCAAAACUUCAUAAAACUUGUUAGUAACUCUUGCAAGGGCAACAACAUAUUAAUUAAGUGUUUUAGGCAUAGUUACUACUCAAAAGAUGCGAAACUCAUGAUAAUUAUUAUAUAAAAUAUGCUCUUUUUGAGUAGUAAUCAACUUUCUUGCAUAAGCAGACCUUUUAGGGUGGAGUACUAAAGACCAAUAUGCUUGUCCUUGUUGUAAUAAAGAAACUUGCUCUUAUUGAUUGCACCAUGGGAGAAAAUUUUGCUACAUGAGUUAUCAUCAAUUUCUUCCCACCAAUCAUAGAUUUAGACGUGACAAGAGGCCUCUUAAUGGCAAGGAGGAACUGACACUCACACUUAUACAAUUAUCGGGCAUUGAUGUGUUGCAACAAUUAGAAUAACUUACACCAAUUAUGUUGGGGAAGUCACAAAAGGCAAACAUGAAAACUAAAAGGAAAAAAGAAAAAUGUUACAUAUCACCACAACUGGAAAGAAAAAAGUAUUUACUUUCAUUUGCCAUAUUGGAAAGCACUUAUUUUACAUCAUAAUAAUUUAGACAUAAUGCAUAUUGAGAAAAAUGUGUGACAAUAUAAUUGAGACAUUGUUCAGUAUUGACGAAGAAACAAGGACAACCUAAAUAGUCAUCUCGAUUUACAAGCUCUAACUAUUAGAAAUGAGAUUCACCCAAUAGAAAGCAGGACCAAAUUUAUUUUGCUUGCAACAUGCUACUCACUCACCCCAAAUGAGAUUAAGGAAUUUUGCAAGUUUUUGAAAUCAAUAAAGGUCCCCAAUGGCUAUUCUUUCAAUAUCUCUCGUUAUGUGCAACUCAAUGAAAGGAAGAUAUAUGAGCUCAAAUUGUAUGAUUGUCAUGUCCUAAUGCAACAACUUCUCUCACUUGUAGUUCGUGGAGUUCUACAUAAGAAUGUUUGUGGAGUUAUCAUAGAAUUGCGUAAUUUUUUCAAGCAAUUGUGCUCAAAGGUGUUAGAAACAAAUCACUUACACCAACUUGAGAACAAUAUUAUUGUCAUACUAUGUAAAAUGGAGCAAAUAUUUCUUCCAUCAUUCUUUGAUAUUAUGGUGCAUUUACUUGUGCAUCUAGUAAGGCAAAGGUUGCAAGACUUGUGCAAUAUUGUUGGAUGUACCUAAUUGAACGAUAUUGUUAUAAUUUCAUAUGAAUCAUUUAAUUUUAUUUUAUAUUAUGUUCAGUUCAUUAACAUGUACAUUGGUCUACAUAUGGAUGAUGAUAGGUACCUAAGCACUUUAAAGUCAUAUGUGCGUAAUAGAACUUUUCUAGAAGGUUCUAUUGUAGAAAGGUACCUUGCAAAAGAAUGUACAACAUUUUAUUCUAGGUACUUGAAUGAUGUGGAAAUAAAGUAUAAUCACAAUGAUAGAAACUUUGUUGGUUUCAACACUAGAGGAGAUGAAAGGGGUUAUCUUUAAACAUAUUGGACAUGCAUUGGGAAAGCCCAUAUUUCAUUAACUUAGUUCAAAAGAGUGGUCACAAGCACAUUUAUAUGUGUUGACAAAUUGCGAAGAUGUCAUACCAUUCAUUGAGUAAAAAAUUUAUUUGAAUUUUAAUUAAAGCUCUAGUUUAUAUCCUUAAUCAAUGUUUUUUAAAUUCACAAGGAGCACAAGCAAACCAUCAAGGCUAGACCACAUAUACGUGUUUGAGACGUAGAUUUAAUUCAUAACAAGGAAUUUAUCAAGUGGUUUGAAAGACAUGUAAGUAUAUUCCUUAUUAUAAGGGAUUUAUUUCACAUUAUGUUUAUAUUGAAUCCAAACCUAUUAUUGAAUUGUAGGUUGAACAAUUACAUAAUGAAGGUCAUAUAUCUGAACACCUUCUCACAUUAUCAUGUGUUCCAAAUUCAUUAGUUACAUGCUUCAAAUGAUAUAUUGUCAAUGGAUUUAGAUCCCACAUUAAAGAACGUGAUAAAAAAGUUUUUAAAAAAAGACUCAGAAUAAUGGAAUUGUUGUAGUUGCAAAAACGUCAAGCUUUACAAGUGCAUGUGAUAUGAGUCCAAUUAUUAGUGAUGCUCUCUACUAUGGUGUUCUAACUAAAGUUGUUGAGUUACAUUAUCUUGGUGAAAAUAAGGUUGUUUUAUUCGAGUUUGAUUGGUGGGAUGUUACAAAUAUUGGAAAAUUGAUAAAAGAUGAUGAGUACAAUUACACAUUUGUUAACUUUGCAUGAAUUCUAACCACGAACGAACGAUUUGUACUUGCAUCUCCAGCAAAGUAAGUGUUCUAUGUGAAGAAUGCGAAUGAAUCAGAUUGGCAUACUAUCAUGGAGAUGCAACCUCAAGACCUCUAUAAGAUGAACGGGAUAGGAUCCAAUGGUGAUUUUGAACCAUUUCAACAAAGUGAACUACAUGAUCACUAAUAUAUCUCAGAUUUAGUUGAUGAAGAUAUAAUCAAGUGGAACAAAAGUGAUGUUUUAGGACUAAUCAUCCUAAAAAAUAUUGUAGUUUCUUAAAAAAAAAAUGAAAAUGAAGAAGAUAAUUGAACCUUUGUCAUACUUUAAAAAGCAACUAUGCAUUGUUCAUUUUGUAUGUUUUGGUUUUCUUCAUUUAAUUUCCUGAUUUUUGUGAUUCAAUGUCAUAUUAUUGAUCUUGAAAUAUUUUUCUAAUUUUUCAUUCUACGAUGGUUUCAACAAGGAUGACAUCAAGUCAAAAAAGGAAAUGUGGUCCCACACACAAUAUUGCAUUACAGGGAUUAAGGUCAGGGAAGAAGGUAAAAGUUGCAUUUAAUGAGUACAAUCAAUUGGUUAAACAGAAAAAUGGAAAACACUUAUCGAGCUACAUAGGGACACUUGUAUCUAACCAACACAAUGUACCUCUCCAAGCUAGUGAUUGGAAAAAUGUUCCAAAUGAUGCAAAAGAGAAAGUAUGGCCUUUGUUUUGGUAUGUUGUAUUUCUCACUAUAUGAUGUCAUUUCACUGUUAUUCUAUUUUGUGACUAACGUUUGAAUCAUAUGUAAGAAAAAUUUGAAGUAGAUAAAGACUGAAAAGAUUACAUGUUGGGUAUAGCCUCAAAUAAAUAUAGAAGCUAUAAAAAUAUGAUGAAUGCAAAAUACUAUGACCCUUGGCAUAAGGAUGCAUGAGGAGAGGUUAAUACAUAAAUCACCAUUUGUCUCUGAUGUUGAUUGGAAGUGGCUUGUCUCUGAUGCAUAAACCAAAUCCCCCACUGAAUGUUUGAUAUUUGAUAGCAGGAAAAACACACCCGCAGCUAUACACCUCCAUCAUUCAGAUAAUUAUAGUGGGGGAGAUGAUUCAUGGUUGCCCUUAUACCCUUUAUUUGCACCAUCUAUUGAGAUUCUUUAUCAUGGCCAGGUUUUACUGCAGCAAUAAGAUAUGGUGGCAACAAUUUUAUCUAUAGGUGCGGUUCCAGACCGCCUCCAUAGGUGCGGUUCCUGACUGCCUCCAUAGGUGCCUCUUCUUGUAAUGUUUGUUCUGGGAAUUACACUUGAAAGCCUUAUCGUGAUAAGGGAUUACAAACACUAGUUCAGAGGACAGCCAUGUUAAACUUCCACUAUGUUUGUGUCACAUUAUCAGCAGCCUAGUGUUUAUUGGUCAUGCUAUCUGCAACUAAUAUAACCCGGUGAACUUCAAUCUAAAUUCUGAAAGUACUCAUGUGACAGAUGGUGCCUUUCAGCAGAUAUCAUCAAUUUAAAAGUAGUGUGUGUGCCUAUAGGUGGGAAGGCCUUGGCAAAUGUUCAGUAUUCCGGUAAUUCAAGAAGGAUAUAUCUAAAAUAGAUUUUCUUCUUGCCCAUUUCAAUAGUUAAAAUUUGAGAAGAUUGUGUCCACAUCACACAAAUAUUAUUGGUCCUUCUGUUGCAAUUUACCUCUGAACAUGUCUUCCAAUUCCCACGGUCCUGUUACUCCAGGAAAACUAUUUCGGUCAUAUUGAAAAAAAAAAUAUUAAAGAAGGUACACAUGCUUUUAAGUGGACUGGGGCAUUCAUAUCAGGUGGUCUGUAUCCACAUAUGCCACUUCGUGAAAGGUGGAACAGCCUAAUCACUAGGCUAUUUAGUGUGGCCCAGCCACGUUAAUCAAGCACAAGUCUUCAUACUUAAAGUCAAAUGGUGUCUUUAGUCUCAUUACACAUCGCUAUUUGAAGAUUAACUCAUCACUAGUGUAAUGCGAUUAAGACAGUCCUAACUCAAUAUUUGUUCUAGUUUUGGAUGCAAAUGCUUGCUGGUUUCAUCAUUGGAUGGGAUAAAGGUGCAAUCAGGACUAUGAAUACGUGCAGUAAUACUUCAUUCUCUUUUUUCUCAAUGAGACUUCUUGGCACAAUUUUGCUGCUCAGCAACCUACCUUUCCAUGGAAAAUCAGUUGUGACUGAUAGUAAUGGAUAUAUUCUAGAAAGCUAAACAUAGAUAGCAUUCAAUAUUAUCGAUAUAACAUUAACAGCGUAUGUCUCAAUGCUCAUCAGCUACAAGCAAUGGACAAACACUUUGAGUAACUCACAGCAGUCAAAAUUCCUAAACAGGACAGACGUGACAGAUCUAUAUAUAGAACACUGCAUAUGAGUCACAGGAAAAGAUAAUACGGGUACAUAGAAGCUCUUAUUUUACAUAUUACUCAUACUGAUCAAAGUCGCUCAGUUGGGAUGGAUGGGAGAAGGAGGUUUGAGGGGUGGCUUGUGCGGGGAAGUUGGCAGCUUCUUUCCGGGAGCUGGUUGCUUCUUUGCUGGAGUUGAAGGAGGCUUAAUCUUCCGAGGUGGCUUGUAUGAGUCUUCAGCAUUCUCAGCAGGAGGGUGACCAGGGUUGUGACCAUAAUGUGGUGGCUUCUCUCCCUUAGGUGGUUUGCCAACUGGGGUUGGUGGCUUGUUUUCUGGGAGUGGCUUCUCUCCCUUGGGUGGUUUGCCAACUGGGGUUGGUGGCUUGUGUUCUGGGAGUGGCUUCUCCCCCUUGGGAGGUUUUUCGAAUGGGGUGGGUUUGUGUCCUGGUGGUGGCUUCUCUCCCUUGGGAGGUUUACCAAUUGGGGUCGGUGGCUUGUGUUCUGGGAGGGGCUUCUCUCCCUGGGGAGGUUUAGUGGGUGGCUUGUGUUCUGGAGGUGGCUUCUCCACCGGAGGCUUAUGCUCUGGUGGUGGCUUCUCGAAGGGGGGAUGCUCAGGGUAAUCACCAAGUGAGGGGGUGGUGAGAACCACCAUGCCAAGCAACAACACUAGCAAGUAUGUAGUAGACAUCUUUGGGUUUGGACUCAGACAGUGCAAAACUACGAGAAAUCGCUAGCCCUUUAUAGCGGCUCGGACCUAAUACUGACAUAAUAUAAAAUAAAUAUUAUAUUUUAUCAAGAGAGAACAGAGUGUAAUUUUAUCAUUAAUACCGAUCGAGGCCAAAGAAAGAAGACCCAUAAUCCAUUUCCCACAAGCAUACACAAUGCAGCUGUAAUUUUAUCAUUUACUUUUAUCCCUUGGACCACUGCAUUUUUGUUGAGAGACACAAUAACACAUUUUUAUCUGUCAUUCAACAUUUACAGUAAAGAGAGGGCACAAAACGCAAUUAGAUAAAUUAUGUUUUGCCUGCUAAAAAGAGGCAAAUAACUUUAUUUGCAACAUAAUUAUUUUGGUUUCUAGUGACCCCGGGGCCUUUCGGUUGGUUUGGGAUCGGAAAAUGAACAUCAUAGGGGGGGUUGUGCCCUUAUGGGCAUAUAUAUCUGAUAGCUUCAACUGGCCUUGUUCCUAGAAAGAAAUUGCCAAAGAUAUAAACUUAUUCCAGGCUGAAAGUAGAUGAGAGUCAUAAUGAACAUCAACCUUUGUUCAGUUUGAUUCAAUGCCCCCAUAGUGUUCAUUUCACAGAUCUGAAUGAUUAUAUCCGUUGAAUACAUAAAUUAAUGAAGACAAAUAUGAAACCCAAGAUACAUCUCUGCAUAACAACCCCAACCCUGGUUGCUAUGUUUCCCUUCUUCUAUUCACAUGAGGAUACUGGUUAUAAUUGUCAAACUUGCAACAAGCCCUUUGACACCUAACGUCAAUGGACGAAUUAAAAGUCUCCUUCAAACGUCUAUUUCACAGCAUGAAGCUUAUAAAGGAUGCUGACAACCUUCAGAGUUAGCGACAAAAGAUAAUUAUCAAGGAGAGAUAGUUCCAUGAGAAUUCCAAGGAGUCUGAAUCAAAGACAAAUUGCUCACUCAAGGGUUCUUAUUUUCUUUUAGGUACAAAUCUCUUGAGUGUUGUUAAAGAAACACGUCACUGUCAUUUUGAUUUGCAUUUAACAUUUCACUUUUGUUCUGGAAGGUUUGUUCCGGAAACAUAUCAAAUGAGCAUCAUUUUCUUCUUCGGUGACACAUGGUCGCGAGUACGUGGGUCCAUUUUCAUGCCACUUAGUUGAAAAGUUGGAAAGAAAAAACAUGCCAACAAGAAGAUAGUGAGAGAAGGGGCACUUCAAGCCUUUAACAUGAACAAACAGUAAAUAAAAGAUGUUUCUCCACUCAUAAAAGUGUGUUAGAUAGCAAUAUAACGAAUCACAUCCAAAAUCUUUACUAGGCUCAAACAUAAAGAAGACUCAUUUUUAAGAAAAGAUAAAAAUGGCAUUGUCUGAUAGUAUCCAAUACACGAGAUGGCACUUAAUUUGUACAAGAUCUGUCAAUGCUGACGCACAUUUUCUGAUUAAAAAAAAACUGAUCAGUCAAAAGCAAUGAAGAGAAGUGAUGACAAUGAAUGAUGCUUCCAAUAUUUUCACCCCUUAUAGUGUUCUUCAUGAUUCAGAUAUAUAAUUGGAAAUAGAACAACCCUAUGCCAUACAUUCGUCUAAGUAUGGUGUCUAAUUUUUUGUGUCAGCGGUUGCGAAUGGAGCGUGCAAAAGUCCAAAUUGGCGUCUCUCCAUUUCCACAUAGGAAGGUGACCUUUAUUGACAAAUACCCAAUAUUUGUAGACAUUCCUUAAAUAUCAUAACUUCUUGUUGAUUUGAAAAUCAUUUUUCAACUACCAUGUUUUAAUAAAUAUUUUUUAAAAUGUAUUUUUAUCAAAGUCCACCAUGAUGGAUAAUAUUCACCAUGCAAUAAUUAAUAAAGUACAAACUAAGCGAAAUGAAAAGCAUUUUCUUUGCUUUGAGUUGAUUUUGGUUGCAUUGAGUUGAUUUUGGUUUCAUGGUUUUUUCAACUCUUAUUUUGAUUGGAAGAUGUCAAGAAAAGAAAACAUAAAGAAAAAUUAAAAGGGAAAAAAGAAGAAAAAUAAAAAAAAAUAGAUUUAAAAGUUAAUAAAUUAUUUUUUAUAUUUAUUUUAAUUCAUUUCACUUAUUUUUCUUUUACUAUAUAAAAUUUAAAUAAUUUAAAUUUUAUAAUUAAUUUAAUUACAUUUCAUUUUCUUCUAUAUUUAAAUAUUGGAAAAAUAUUUUACUUAAUAUUUUUUUCUUUAAUUUCUUUGGCAUUUUGGGAACCAAACUUAGCCUUUAAAAUAAAAAACAAAAAAAAAAUGAAAAUAAGGAGGGAAAAGUGAGAAAAGAUAAAAACAAUAUGUAAAGGAUUUGAAAAGUAUUAGUUUGUAAUUACUAUUUGGAUUUCAAUAGUAUUUUAUUUGUCUUUCUAUAUUUCAUGUAAGAGAGAAUUUAAGAUAUUCCCCAAGGCAAAGCAUUAGUUACCUGCAAUCAGUGGUGAUAAGGCUCCAAGCCAAUUUUGGGCCCCAUAUCUUAAGACAGUACAAUUUCCAUUUCAACAUUUCUGAUUUCUCAGAUGUUUCACAUACCACAGAAGAACAUUGUUUGUGAAAAUAUGCAUUUAUGUUGGAUUUUGUAUGCUGUGGGGACUGGGGCAAGGAUCAUAUGGAAGAGUGGUUGACUUUUUCUGUACUUUAACGGUUGAAAUAGGAUAAGCACGGGCAUUUGUGAGGCUUAAUUGAUUUUGAAGCCUGAAAUUGCGUUUCUGUCAUUUUGUCAAAAAAAUGGCAGAUUCCAUACUCAUAUGUUUGGCCUGUGGCCAUGUACAGAUGCCAUUUAGUGACCAGUUUGUAACUGUCAAUCGUUGCGUUUUGACUCUGCCUCAACAACAUCUGCCAUUGACGGGUUUUCAUACUUGCAAAUCAAAUAGUCUUUCGUCCCAUCAGGAAUUUCGGUUUAAAUAUUAUUAAGCAUACGUUUGGCUGACAAUCAUUAUCCAGUUCAUGAUUUGGUUUCUUACCCUUAAUCAAUGGUUUCUAAGUGAAUAUAUGUAGAAGGAAAUCCGAAGUGUAGACAGUAGUAUCGAUAACUCUCAAUAUUCUCUAUAUAAUAGAAUAAACAGCGUCAUAGUGAUCGUCGCCUACAAGCAAGGUACAAAUACCAAAACGAGUGACUCACAUAGACAUCUCCCAACAAGAUGUAGUAGUGACUGACACAUGGACACAAUUAACUCGUAGAAAAGGAUAAGACCAUUGCACAGCAGCUCUUAUUUUACAUACUACUUAUGCUAACCAAAGUCAAUUAGUUGGGAUGGGUGGGAGAUGGAGGUUUGUGCGGUGGCUUGUGGGGCGGAGUUGAUGGCUUCUUUCCAGGAGCUUCUGGCUUUUUCAUCGGAGCUGAAGGAGGCUCAAUCUUAUGAGGCGGCUUGUAUGAGUCUUCUUUACUCUCGACAGGAGGGUGGCCAGGGUUGUGAUCAUAAUGUGGUGGCUUCUCUCCCUUAGGUGGCUUGCCAACUGGGGUUGGUGGCUUGUGUUCAGGAAGUGGUUUCUCUCCCAUGGGAGGUUUAGCAAUUGGGGUUGGUGGCUUGUGUUCUGGGAGUGGCUUCUCUCCCUUGGGAGGUUUAGUAGGUGACUUGUGUUCUGGAGGUGGCUUCUCCACCGGAGGCUUGUGCUCCGGUGGUGGCUUCUUGGUUGGAGGGGGCUUGGGGUAAUCAGCAAGAGAUGGGGUGGUGAGAACCACCAGUCCAAGGAACAACACUAGCAAGUAUGUGGGAGACAUUUUUGAGUUUGGGCUGAUCAGAUGAUGCAAAACUAAAGCAUUACGUGACCUUUUAUAGCAUGUAGCUCCCAAUACCCACUAAGUAUUGUGGGGUCCAUUUGUGCCCUACGGGGUUGAAAACUUAGACAAUUGGGCAAGGACCCACCUGACUAUGGAGGACUAGUGAGGUGUGAUCAUAGCUUUAGGAUUUUUCUUCCUCUGCAGCCGUCGUGCCGUUGGCAUGAUUUUCUUAAUCUUAAAUAAAGGCAUAGUUAUAGAGUUGUUUAAUCUCUAAAUGGGAUUUUAUAUAUAUCUUCAGAUAGCCAUUAAUAUAUUUGAUGAAGAAAGAAAGACAAGUGCAUACAACAUGUAUACGACUAGCUUUCAUGGAGUUCAUUUAUGAUCAGUUUUCCUGUACAUGUAAACCAGGAUCAUAUAUAUGUUUCUGUUCCACAACUAUUUUGGAAUCUUGUUUAUCAGUUUUUAUCAUUAUAAUGUCACAUAGGCUGCCAACUUGGGCGCUAAAAGAACCAGUUGGGCUAGUUCGUUUCAGAAUUUCAAUGUGGAUUCAGGAAUUGUUUUGUAAGAUAUGCGAAAUAGUAGAGGGAUGAAUAGUGUUUCAUUAAUAAAAGUGUCCUGUAAAUUAGAAGGUGUCAUAGAAACUAUAAUCAAUAAAUAACUUUUUUUCCCCACGGGUGGUGUUUCUUGUGGGGAUCAGUGACUGGUUUAGGUUCACCCAAAAUGAGUUCAGACUAAAAUUGGUUUGAGUCAAUGCCGUGUCUCUUUUUUCCAGAAAUCAACUAUUUUAUGCAUUGAAUAAAUCAUACAAAGAAAAUAUGAACGCCCGCAAAACCUAAACCCUGGUUGCUAACUUUCUAUGUUUCAGUUCUAUUCACGCAAGAAUAUUAGUUUAAGUUUGGGAAAAAUGGCAACUUACCUAGUGAUUACUUGGUUUUGGUUUGCGACUAUUUACGCAACCAACCAUGAGUUUGACUUUAACGUCAUGGGUUGAAGCCUCCUACAGGAAGGGAGAAAGCUCCACAGCUAGCUCCAAAAGAGAAUUAUCACAUUGAUAGCUCCAGAGAUUCCCAAGGGGACUGAAUCAAAGACAAGUUCCUCACUUUUUCUUCUUUUGAGGCCAAAUAUGAACCAAGGAUCACACAACCUCAUUCAACUUCAUAAGUUUGAUUUCAUGCAGUUGAACACUGGGUGAAGGCCAUGACAAGAAUUGAUUCAAAAAUUCUAUCACUCUUUUAAGUAAUGGAAGAUUAUUAUCUCUGAUUGGCAUCACAACAGCACAUGCUCCUAGAUCUUUCUAGACACUCCAUGCAAUGAAAGCACAAUGGAUCUUGUAACGAUAGAAACUAAGCCAUGCUACAGUACUAGAUGAUGAGGUAAAACUAGUAGACACGGGUGGCAGCCUAUAUGGGAGGGACACAAGUCUAAUUGAUUUGCAUUUCAGCAUUAUAGAUAGGUAUGUUUUGGAAGAUUUGUUCUGGAAAUACCGCACCAAGUAGGAUUCUUUUUCUCUUUAGUGGGUCCACUUGCAUGCCAAUUAACGAGUUGAAAAGUAUGAGCACCUACCUCGUGCUCGUGGAACCGAAGGUCAGUGAAGUGGGGCUCCUUUUGGCCUCGUGUAAACUUGAUUCAGAAGUGAAGUUAAUAGUCUUCCAUUCAGAUGGAUACAUGGGAAUUUUUCUCUUUUAUUUAUUUAUUUAUUUUUUUUUUGUGUGUGUAUGUCAAAGGAUAAUGAAUGAAGCGCGUUAGCUUGUUUUCUGACUGGAACCGCAGAUGUCCAAAUUGGAGUUCCUUCAUUUCUUACUUAGGAUUGUUACAUGUAUAAACAAGGUAUAAGAAAUAUGCCAACGUGUCUUGAGGAGUUAUUGAUUAGAAAUAACAAGUCACCCGACUGUAGAGUUCCAAGAUUUGAAUCUUCAGACCCUAUAGCAGCCUCUGGGGUACGUGGCAUCCUAUAGCAUAUUAAUGAAGGCUUUUUCGAUUUAGACUUCACAAUACCAAUUAAUAUGUAUGCACAAAAUGGAGAUGACCCCAAAAAAAACAGAAUCGCCAUAGUUUAUGAGGUUAAGGUGAUUCUCCACUUAAUAUCUACAUUAGCUAAUUAUGUAAAUCAAAUGAACUUCUAUUUUUCCUUUUUUUUUUUGGUUUAUGUCAAAUAGUAGCCCAUAAUUAACCCAACCAUUAGCCUGUUUGAAUUGAUUUCACAUGCACAAUGUUGUAGUAGUUCAUAUUUUGAAUUUUAUUUUUACAAAGGUAGUUAAGGAAAAUGAAGUAUAAUAAUUAUAAAAGCAGACUAUAUACACUACAAUAAUUGUUAGAAUGGUAUCUCAAAUUCUAAUUUAAAAUAUUAUUUUUUGUAAAAGAAAUAUUAUAUAGAAUAUUUCCUAAUUUUAUAAAUGAUUAUAAUUAGAUCUUUAUAAAAUAAGGAAAGUUGGUAAGAAUAUCUUUAUAAAUAUUUUAGGUCAUGAGAGAAAGAAAUGGGAUAAAAAUGUGAUGAAGAGGUGAAAUAAGAGAGUUGAUUAGGAUAUAGAUGUGAAGAAGAAAGGGAUUCAAUAUAUAUAUAUCUUUCAAUUACCACAUUAAAACCCUGUGAACCUUUUAUAUGGUUUACUUUAUUUUUAUAUUCCUCCUUUAAUAUAUUUACAUUAAUGCUUCCAUUGGCACAACAAUAACGAAUUACAAAUACAAGCAACAAGUCCCAUGUUUUAUUACCAAAAGCAGGUAAAAUCCACCUAAUAUAUUACAAUAUAUUCAUCCAAUAUUUUAGACCAAUUCUUCACCAUAAAUAUCAUAAUGUGGCUUUUGUUCUUUCUUAAAUUUAAAUUGAAUUGUCUUAUAUCAAUUUGUUUGUGAUUUUUUCAUUAACUUCACUUUCAUUUGGUUAUCUUUGGUUUUUGAAAAGUAUUAAGGAAUUAAUUAACAAAAUAAUGUUAAGAAAAAUAAUUUUCUCUCUUUUGAUUUUGAUUUUGUAGUAGAAAAAUAUAAUUAAAAUUAUUUAAAAAGUAUGUAAUUUUAAAUUAUUUAAUAUUUAGAUAAAAAAAAUAAGUCUAAUGAGUUUAAAAUAACAUAUAAAAAUAAUUUAUUUAUUUUAAAUUUAUUUUUUAUUUUCCAUUAUGUUCUCUUUCUCUUUUACUUUUUCAUAUUUUUUCUUACGAAGAAUCAAACACAACCUCAUAUUAUAUGUCAAGUGUUUGUCUAUAUUUGAGCAAUGUUAGAUACGGCCAUGGAUUCAUCAAACUAAACUGAUUUUAAUAGAUACUUCACAAAUUGAUUUAUACACUAAAUCAUUGGAUAGCAAUGAUGCAUUGGAAUUAAACGUAGGAUGAAGCUCGAAGAACACUGUUUGUGUAACAACAUAUUUAUGAAAUUAUGCAAAGGAUGAGCUUCGGGGUAGUAGUACAAGGUCAUUAAUGGAGAGCCGUGUUAAACCUUGAUUGUGAUUGGAUUCCGUUAUCAGCAACAGCAACCUUGUUUGUAACCUUGAAAGUCAUUCUGUCCACAUCGAAACUCCAAUUUGACGUUUGUAAUUACCAUUCCUGGAGUGUUCCUUGAUUGAAAUUUAAAUAAUAAUUGCGGCCCACAAGGAAUAUUUUCGAUUCUGUGGGAAUUUGACAAGGUUUGUUAGAGAAGACUGGUGACAUGUUGACUUCAAUGGUUCAAAUAGGAGACGUAUGUGGAUUUGGGGGGUUUAAUUGAAACUGAGUCCCUAUGGCUUUUUAAUAUUUGCAUUGAGCAGUCUCCAUGUGACUUCCUAAUUCCCACCAACCCUCCUGUCCAUGCUGUGAAACUAAAUUGUAAUUUAUCAGCCUUUGUCAAUGGUUUCUAAAUUAAAGAUAUAGACCAUGCAUGUACUUUAAUAAAAGCAAAUCUAAAGUGUAGAUAGCAGCAAUGGUGACACCCAAUAUUCUCCAUAAAAUAGAAUUAGAAUAAGCAGUGUUACAUUGUUCAUGAUCACCUACAAGCAUACAAGAACUUCCAUGAAUAACUCAUAGCAAUUGCCAACAGGGCGUCGUAGAGACUCAUACAUAGAACACUAUCCACCCAGAGGAAAGGACAAGACCAGUGCGCUGCAGCUCUUAUUUUUCACAUGUAUACCACCACUCGUAAUAACCAAAUUCACUCAGUUGGGAUAGGUGGGAGAUGGUGGUUUGUGGGGUGGCUUGUGGGGAGGAGUUGGAGGAGGCUUUAUUUUCUGAGGCGGCUUGUAUGAGUGUGCAGGAGGAUGCCCGGGAGUGUGACCAUAAUGUGGUGGCUUCUCUCCCGUAGGUGGUUUGCCAAAUGGGCUUGGUGGCUUCUCUCCCUUAGGAGGUUUACCAAUUGGGGUUGGUGGCUUGUGUUCUGGGAGUGGUUUCUCUCCCUUGGUAGGUUUGCCAAUUGGGGUUGGCGGCUUAUGUUCUGGGAGUGGCUUCUCUCCCUUGGGAGGUUUGCUAAUUGGGGUUGGCGGCUUAUGUUCUGGGGGCGGCUUCUCUCCCUUGGGAGGUUUGCCAAUUGGAGUUGGCGGCUUAUGUUCUGGGAGUGGCUUUUCUCCCUUGGGAGGCUUGCCAAUUGGGGUUGGCGGCUUAUGUUCUGGGGGUGGCUUCUCUCCUUUAGGAGGUUUGCCAAUUGGAGUCGGCGGCUUAUGUUCUGGAAGUGGCUUUUUUCCCUUGGGAGGUUUGCCAAUUGGGGUUGGCGGCUUAUGUUCUGGGGGUGGCUUCUCUCCCUUGGGAGGUUUGCCAAUUGGAGUCGGCGGCUUAUGUUCUGGGAGUGGCUUCUCUCCCUUGGGAGGUUUUGUUGGUGGCUUGUGUUCUGGAGAUGGCUUCUCCCCUGGAGGCUUGUGCUCCGGAGGUGGCUUCUGAAAUGGCGGGGGCUUGGGGUAAUGAGCAAGAGAUGGAGUACUGGUGAGAACCACCAUUCCAAGCAACAAUACUAGCAAGCAUGUGGGAGACAUCUUUGAGUAGUUGUAGCUAAGAUGGCGCAACACUGUAGGCAUUGGGUGGCCUUUUAUAAAGGGCUGGACCCAACAGCCAUAUGACACGUGUCAUGAUGACAAAUGAAGUUGAGGGGAUCCAGAUGGGUCCUACUGAGUCGAAAACUUGCACUAAUUGAUCUGGUGAGAUGACUAUUUCUGUCCUUUUGCCCUUCUCGGCCACCCUGUGCUGUUUUCCUUUUGCACGAUUUUCGUUGCCAAACAAGCAAAUAAUAUUUCGCCAAGAAAGAGGAGAGUGAAUGUGGAAUGCAUCAAGUCCCAUCAAGGAUGGCAGAGAAGAAAUAGAAGAUUGCCCAACUGUGAUAAACAUAGCAUACACGUAGCACCAGGAACUUCAUUUACUUCCAUCUAAUGGAACAUAACAAUCUUCUAAAGUUUUUGCAUGAUUUUGUUAUAUGUCUCUUAGCCUAAAGUUGGAAAUGCGCAACAAAUUUUGUCACUUCUCUAUUUCCCACUGAUGAUGUUAAUUAGCCUUCAUAGAUAUCAUCCUUUCUACAAAGUGCUUCAUUUGUGUGUUAUUGUAAAGUGUAAGAAAAGUAAUUGAACAUGUUCUUUUUCCUUUCAUAGAUGACUUUUGAUGUGCAUUUUAAAAGCAGCGCUGUGAGUCGGUGACCUUGAUUCACACGGAAACUAAGGCUCCUAUAGGACCCACUUUUAGCUGGUUAGGGGUGAAGAAAAUAUCAACUUUUCAGAGUGAUUUAAGUCAAGGCCAAGCCUCACUGUGUCAUUACUCGUGUGAAUUUUAUAUGCACAUACAUACAUAAAUAAAGUAUGAGACCCAAAUAACACCUUCCCUUUACAAACUUAACCCCAGCCGCUCUCUUUCAAUUCUUUUCACACAAGGGUAUUGACUCUAUAAAGGUCAAGAAAAUCAUAAUUUCCUAGGGUUUACAAGGUAAUUGGCUUAAUGCUAAUGUGAAAACAUAAAAGAUAAUAGUAUAUUGUAAGCUAACGAAUAUUCUAUAGUUAUAAUUAUUUGUGAUGUGCAUAAAUAAAUCUUCAUAUAUAUAAUGGAACAAUGAAUAAAGAACCAAUGAAAAAAUACUAUAUAUCAUUGCUUGGCAUUUAAACCGUAUAUGCUGCUCUUUCUAGCUACUCCAUCCACUGAAAGACAACAAGGUAAUCCAUGUUAUAAUGAUAGAAGAUACUGUCUCUAGGCUUUUUGUGAUGAAAAAUAUAAGAUAUGGGUAGGGUUGACCCUUGUAUGUUUGUCCUAUAAACACUUCAAAGUAACAUAUUUUUCUUCUUUAGCAACUCAUAAUGAUGGGGUUCAUUUGCAUGUCACUGAGUUGAAAAGUUGGACAAUUGCCCAUGUCGCCUUCCUCCUAGAUUCCGUAGUUCACGGGAAGGUAACUCAAGUUUGACAUAUUUUGAAUUCUUUUCACUCGGACGUCUUCAUAACCUGACAAAACAAAAAUGAAAAACAGAGGAUUGGUAUAUUAUUCAUGGUAAGCCUCAAAUUAUAGUAGUAUGAGAAAGGAGAAAAAGAUUUUGGGAACUCCAAUCUGGAUAAUUCUCGUUUCUUCUCUUGAAUAAAAAUUUCACUUACCUAACUUCGUUUGGAGAAAUGGCAUAUUUUAAUUUUGUACGUCAUUGCUAAUAAAUGGAGCAAUUUAGCAUGUUUUGUGACUGAAACUGCAAAUGUCCAAUUGGCAUUUCUUCAUUUCCCACUUAGGAUCUGAUCUUGUAGACCAUAUAACGAUAUGUAUCUGUGCAAGCAUUGAAAACUAAUGUGAACUAUGAGGAGUUACAAGCCACUGGACUGUAGAGCGAGUGCCAAGAUUUAAAUCUUCAGGCUCUAUCUGGGUAAGGGGAGGAUAGCGACCUAACCUUUUACCAAAGGCUUAGAAUUUAGACUUUUGGAAAAAAAUUUCUCAUGUUUUGGCUGGAUUUCUUGUGCUUGGCGCAAAAAGGAGAUGGCCUCAAGAAAUAGCAGACUCACUUUUGUUUUCAGCCCUUAAUAAUUCUCCACUGCUUUCCAUAACUACAUGGGUUAUACAUGCAGUCUGCUGCAAUAUUCCAGUUAUAUUUAUUAUUUCAAAGAGGGUGAAUGACUUCACAUGCAAUAUGUUGCAGUAACAACCCAAAUUUUGGCACACCAUCUUAAGAAUAGAAAAGUAUAAUAAAAGAAAUCAAUCAGAGAAUCACUUUGCAUGCAGUUCAUAGAGUUCGCCCAAAAUGGAGCCACAUGUACGGACAACCCCACAAUAGACAAUCUUCUCUAUACAGUAAUAAAAUACAGAAAUGGUUAAUGAAGCUCUGUAUUUCCUUAUCAUAUAUGACCGGUUGAAAACUCAGCAAGUCUUCCUCAAUCACAGACAGUUGGAGUUGCUUCAUCAAAAUCAUGCCUUCAUUACUGGCUUCAUUUUGGUUUCAAUGUCUGUUCUACCCUUAAAUUGGGUCUCUGCUUACUACCGGGAUAUCCUUUAGCGUCCUGCAAUUCUACUAGAUUAAAGAGAAUGACUUAAUUCUGCAUUCUGCCGUCCCUAGUCCAAGUGGUACUAGAAUUGAUGUUUCCUUUAGUGUCCUUUCUUCAUACUUUCAGGUUCUUCCCUUGUUUCAAUAAUGCUGUUUUCCUUCAUGUUUAACCUCUGUUGAACCACUUAAAACAACACAAUUUGCACACCAAUGUUUCUUUACAGAAAAGACUGUUUGCAAAAAUGCACAUGUUAUAAGGUUAAUGGAAGAAUUAAUUUGGGGAUAAGGGACUAGGAUUGGGCCAAUGAAGUUUGGUGUUAAAUUUUGAUUAUGAUUGCUUUUCAUUAUCAGGUACCUUAUAUUUGCUGAUGCUAUCUGGAACUAAAUUCAAAUCAGACAUUAUCCGAUUACUAACAGGACAUAUCAUGUCCCUCUGCAGAGUUUCUAAACUAACAUGUAUCGAAAUGUGGCCCCAAAAGGAAGGCUAGGAAGAUGGAGGAUUUUGUAGGAAUCGACCAGAAUCAGAUGGAAGAGAGAUAGUCCUGUUGACUUUAAUGGUUGUGAUAGGAACAUGCAUCAUUAUAUGAGAAGUUGCAUGAAUUUAUGUAUCCUGUUAUCGUUCCUUGACGAUUUCCCAAUGCAAUUUCACUGUCCACAAGACUAACCUCUCCAUGCAGUCAAAUGAAUUGUAAUUUCUCUAUUGGUACCAGUAGUACAUUUCAUACCAAACAUAUAGUAAAUAUAAAAUAUAAAUAGAUCAAGGAAAUCUGAAUUGUAGAUAGCACUGCAAGUAACACUCAAUAUUCUCUAUAUAUAAUAAAAUAAACAGUGUCACAAUACUCAUCACCCAGUGGCAAGGGAGAAAAACCUACAAUGAGUACUCAAAUCACCAUUCUCAAACAGAAACAUAGCAGUGACUGAUACAUAGAACCUAUAUGCUCACAGGGAAAGAAUAAGAUGACCAGUGCACAGCGGGCAGCAGCUCUUAUUUUACGUACAACUCAAAUCCCAAACUAACCAAAGUCGCUCAGUUGGGAUGGGUGGGAGAUGGUGGUUUGUGGGAUGGCUUCUGGGUAGGAGCUGGUGGCUUCUGUCCCUUUGGUGGUUUGCCUAAUGAGCUUGGUGGCUUGUGCUCCGGGAGUUGUUUCUCUCCCUCGAGUAGGUUUCGAGUCUUGUCAGAUGGCUUGUGUUCUGGUGGUGGCUUCUCUCCCUGGGGUGGUUUGCCGAAUGGGCUUGGUGGCUUGUGUUCGGGGAGUGGCUUCUCUCCCUGGAGAAGGUUACGAGUUUUGUCAUAUGGCUUUUGUUCUGGUGGUGGCUUCUCUCCCUGGGGUGGUUUGCCGAAUGGGCUUGGUGGCUUGUGUUCGGGGAGUGGCUUCUCUCCCUGGAGAAGGUUACGAGUUUUGUCAGAUGGCUUGUGUUCUGGUGGUGGCUUCUCUCCCUGGGGUGGUUUGCCGAAUGGGCUUGGUGGCUUGUGUUCGGGGAGUGGCUUCUCUCCCUGGAGAAGGUUACGAGUUUUGUCAGAUGGCUUUUGUUCUGGUGGCGGCUUCUCUCCCUGGGGUGGUUUGCCAAAUGGGCUUGGUGGCUUGUGUUCGGGAACUGGCUUCUCUCCCUUGGGAGGUUCAGUUGGUGGCUGCUGUUCCGUAGGUGGUUUCUUCACCGGCGGCUUGUGCUCCGGAAGCGGCUUCUCUACCUGGAGAAGCUUACGAGUUUUGUCCGAUGGCUUGUGUUGUGGUGGUGGCUUCUCUCCCUGGGGUGGUUUGCCAAAUGGAGUUGGUGGCUUGUGUUCGGGGAGUGGCUUCUCUCCAUUGGGAGGUUUAGUUGGUGAUUGGUGUUCCGUAGGUGGUUUCUGAAGUGGGGGAUGCUUGGGGUAGUCAGCAAGAGACGAGGUAGUGAGAACCACCAGUCCCAGCAGCAACACUAGCAAGCAUGUGGAAGACAUCUUUGAGUUCAGGCUGAGAUCUGUGCAAGGAUAACAGAAUUAGGUGGCCUUUUAUAGAGGCCUGGACCCAACACCCAUAUGACACGUGUCAUGCACUCAUGGUGACACAUAAUUCUAUGGGACCAUUUGGGUCCUACAGAAGUUGCAAAGUUGGACUACUGAGGUGUGAUCACAACUUUUGUCCUUAUUGCUUUCUCUGCGGCCAUUGCACGAUUUCCUUUAGCAUCAUUUUCUUGGCUAAAUAAGCGUAUUAUAUUUGUGGCAGACCGUCCACGUGUCAUAAACAGAUAUAUUAUAAUAAUGUAGUAUGCUUUUCUCCAAUGGAACAUGACACUCUUCUAAGUCUUGUUUUAAAUAUUGUGCAGGAUUACUUUAUACGUUGCAGUUCCAAGUCAAAAUUGGUGGGCAAACGUUGGCCUUUUUUCAUUUCACCUAAGAUUAAUGCUCACCUGGGAUAGGCACUACAUGACUUAUCUGCUCUUUUACUGUAAAGUUGCUUUGUGUAUGAGAUACACCUCCCCUGCACACCCUCAACAUUCGUUGCUCUGUUUUCCUUGUGUCCAGACGAGGAUAUUAAUUGGAGGCUGACAAAACGACUGCUAGCCCAGGAUUUACAAGGUCCUGGUUUGAGGCUUCGGUGAAAGUAUUUUUGAAAAGACACACAUAGAGAUAGUGCGUUUGGUGCAAUGCAGCACUGUGAGCCAUUCUGACGCGUUCUUAAUUUCAAAACUAAUGAAUGCUUCAAAAUUUUAAGAAGUGACAUUUCCAAAUAUUUGAGUUCGUUUAAUUGAACAUUGGAUAACUAGUGAUCAUAGAUUAUUAUCUGUGCUUGGCACUAUAAGAGGGUAUAUGCUUCUUUUUCUGGCCCCUCCUUCAAGGGAGGAGGGACAAUGUGAUCUGUAACGUUAGAAGCUAUUCCAUGUCAUCUUUGGGCUCAGUUCAAAACUAAAAGAUAAUGGGGGGGGGGGGGGGGGGCAUAUCAUUUUAUAUUUCUUCUAGAAGGUUUGUUCUGGAAAUAUUUCACAGGAGCAUAUCUUUUUCUUCUAUUACGUCAUCCGCAGCCUCCAAUAGGUCGGUUAACAAGCCACCGAGUUGAAAAGUUGGAAAAAUGGGAACACAGCCCGCCUCUUGUAUUCAGUAGUUAAAUAAAAGGUCACUAGAAGUGAGAUCCCUUUUGGCGUCUUGAUUUUCAAUCCAGCACCUCUGUGACCUGACAAACCAAAAAAACUAAAAAAUAAAAAACAGUACGUGGGUUGGUGUUAAGCAUCAAGACAUGUUAAUGAAAGAAGGUAGAGAAUAGGAUAUUGAAAUCCCAAUCCUGAUAACAUGAUUUUCUUUGCUAACAACCAUAUUAUAUUUUAUCAAGAAAGAGUAAUGCAUGUGGCGUCCAUCAAGACCCAUUAGAGUUCCGCUAAAGCUAUAGUUCUGUCAACGUUAUCAUUUACGUUUCCUCUAGAUAAUGGCAUUUUCCUCUAAAGCUCUUGCACCAUUAGGCUUCAAGUCAAAAUUUCACAUGUGAACUUUGGAAAUUUUCUCCAUUUGCCCCUAAGGAUACAGUUAGAAUUGACUUAAAAUCCUGAUUGAUAUGUACUAUUAACCAAAGAAUAUUGUAUAUAAUAAUUGAAAUAUUGUUGAUUCAUCGUGGAAAUACAUUUUGUAAGGAAAGUUGUUGAGAAUUUAGUAUGCUAUAUGGAGAAAAAAGUCAUGACUUAAGGUUGUGUAUGUAUAUUCUAUAUCAAAUAUUAGGUAGGAAUGUGGGAAAGAGCAGAGUGUAAUGAUAAGAAACAAAGAAAUAUAAGAUAUUCUUGAAAGUGGAAAAUAUAAAAUGGCUAACGAGUCAAAUUUAUGAUGCGUAAGGGGGAUCAUGUCACAUAAGAAAACCAUGGCAUACUAAAGACGUACGUGUGGUAUGGAGUAAUAAUUUUGUUAAAAUAAGUUUCUUGUUGGAGUACAUUAGGUGACUAUUCAUAACGUAUCAAAUUAAAGAGUCAAGUGCAUCAAUGAAGGCAUAUGUAGAAAAUUUGUUUGUGACAUGUACCAUAAAGAUAAGAUUGACUUGAUAGAAUUUAGUCUAAGUAGGAGUUGUUAAAGGUGUCUUAAAUUUCUAAUUGAUGUAUAUUUUUUUCUAAAAAAAUAUUAUAUAGAUAUUUUAAUAAAUGAUUAAUUCUUUGUAAAAAUACUUACAUAAUAAAAAACAUCAUUAAAAAUAUCUUUAUAAAUAUUUUAAGUUACAAGAAGGAAAAAAACCACUGUGAGAUAAUGAUGAACAUGCAACACUGUACCAAGUAAAUAAAAAUGUGAUAAAAAAAAAAGAGAAACACUCGAUAAAGGAAGGCUCGUAUAUAAAGAGUAAUAUUUUUAAUCAUAUGAUAGAAUGAUUUUCUCUCAUUCAUGAAUAUAGGCAAGAUUGGGGAACCAUUAUAAAAUUUUGUACACCUCGUGUAAAUUGAUGUUUGUCUUCAUAUUUUACACCAACAAAUGACAUUGAAGUUGUCAUUGAUAAAAGGGAAAAGGCAUGCCUCCACACCAUGUGCUUGAUUCGAAUGGUUCAAGUUUGAAGAAUUUUCUCCGGAAGAUCUAAAACAUUUUCGCCUUUAAAUUUCAUUUGAUUAUUAAUAUCCGAAAAAAUAGUUAAAUACUCUUUCUAUUUUUGAGUUGUUGAAUUUUUUGAAAGUUUUUAUAUUUGUUAUCAAGAAUUUCUAUUUUAUUAAGGGUGAAUAUUUAUAAAUAAGAUAUUAUAUAAUAUUUGGAUAAGAGAGAAUGGUGGAAUAUAAUAAAGUUUUAAUCCUUCCCAAUUUUGAACCUUUUUUUUUUUUUUUGAUAUAAUCGCCUUUCUCUUGCAAUCCUAUUAUCAGGUACCUUAUAUUUGCUGAUGCUAUCUGGAACUAAAUUCCAAUCAGGCAUUGUCCAAUUACUAAUAGGACAGAUCAUAUCUCUCUGUUUCUAAACUAACAUGUAUCGUAAUGUGACCUCAUAAGGAAGGCUAGGAAGAUGGAGGAUUUUGUGGGAAGCGACCAGAAUCAGAUGGAAGAGAGAUAGCCCUGUUGACCUAAUGGCUGUAAUAGGAGAAGCGUGUGGUUUUAUGGGACUUAACUGAUACUAAACCUGUAUGAUGCUUGGAGUGGUGUUUCUUUCAUUUUGUUAAGAAAAUAUGGCAGCAUACAUGCUUUCAACUGAGUGCAUCAGAGCAUCCAUAACAGAUGGUCUGCAACCCUAGGUGCAUGCCACUUUCUGACUGAUAAUGAAAUUGUCAGGUACCUGGCCUUGACUAAGCUCAACAGCAUCACAUAAAGAGAAGCUUUCAUACUUAGAUUACUGUUUAAAGUUUUUGCUUAUUUGAUUUCUUAAUGCCAUUAUGACAUUAUUGAUUCAAUUCUGCUUCCGAUUUUCGAAGUUCUGGGCAUCUACUGAUUGCAUCAUUAUAUGAGAAGUUGCAUGAGUUUAUGUAUCCUGUUAUUGUUCCUUUGCGAUUUCACUGCUCACGGGACUAACCUCUCCAUUCAGUCGAAAUGAAUUGUAAUUUCUUUACUGGUAGCAGUAGUACUUUUCAUAGCAAAGAUAAUAGAAAAUAUGAAAUAUAAAUAGAAGGAAAUCUGGAUUGUAGAUAGCACCAUAAGUAACACUCAAUAUUCACUACAUAAUAAAUAGACAGUGUUACAUAGGUAGAGAAACCUACAAUGAGUACUCAUCACCAUUCUCAAACAGAAACAUAGCAGCGACUUAUACAUAGAACCUAUAGGCUCGCAGGGAAAGAGUAACAUGAUAAGUUCACAGCGGGUAGCAGCUCUUAUUUUACGUAUUACUCAAAAUCUCAAACUAACCAAAGUCACUCAGUUGGGAUGGGUAGGAGAUGGUGGUUUGUGGGGUGGCUUCUGGGUAGGAGCUGGUGGCUUCUUUGUUGGAGUUGAAGGAGGCAUAUUCUUCUGAGGUGGCUUGUAUGACUCUUCGGCACUCUCUGCAGGAGGGUGCCCAGGGUUGUGACCAGAAGGAGGUGGCUUCUGUCCCUUUGGUGGUUUGCCUAAUGGGCUUGGUGGCUUGUGCUCCGGGAGUUGUUUCUCUCCCUCGAGUAGGUUUCGAGUUUUGUCAGAUGGCUUGUGUUCUGGUGGUGGCUUCUCUCCCUGGGGUGGUUUGCCGAAUGGGCUUGGUGGCUUGUGUUCGGGGAGUGGCUUCUCUCCCUGGAGAAGGUUACGAGUUUUGUCAGAUGGCUUUUGUUCUGGUGGCGGCUUCUCUCCCUGGGGUGGUUUGCCAAAUGGGCUUGGUGGCUUGUGUUCGGGAACUGGCUUCUCUCCCUUGGGAGGUUCAUUUGGUGGCUGGUGUUCCGUAGGUGGUUCCUUCACCGGCGGCUUGUGCUCCGGAAGCGGCUUCUCUACCUGGAGAAGCUUACGAGUUUUGUCAGAUGGCUUGUGUUGUGGUGGUGGCUUCUCUCCCGGGGGUGGUUUGCCAAAUGGACUUGGUGGCUUGUGUUCGGGGAGUGGCUUCUCUCCAUGGGGAGGUUUAGUUGGUGGUUGGUGUUGCGUAGGUGGUUUCUGAAGUGGGGGAUGCUUGGGGUAGUCAGCAAUAGACGAGGUAGUGAGAACCACCAGUCCCAACAGCAACACUAGCAAGGAUGUUGAAGACAUCUUUGAGUUCAGGCUGAGAUCUGUGCAAGGAUAAAAGAUUUAGGUGGCCUUUUAUAGAGGGCUGGACCCAACACCCAUAUGACACGUGUCAUGCACUCAUGGUGACACAUAAUUCUAUGGGACCAUUUGGGUCCUACAGAAGUUGCAAAGUUGGACUAUUGAGGUGUGAUCACAACUUUUGUCCUACUUGCUUUCUCUGCGGCCAUUGCACGAUUUCCUUUAGCAUCAUUUUCUUGUCUAAAUAAGCGUAUUAUAUUUGUGGCAGACCGUCCACGUGUCAUAAACAGAUAUAUUAUAAUAAUGUAGUAUGCUUUUCUUCAACGGAACUUGACACUCUUCUAAGUCUUGUUUUAAAUACUGUGCAGGAUUACGUCAUAAGUUGCUUGUUCCAAGUCAAAAUUGGUGGGCAAACGUUGGCCUUUUUUCAUUUUCCCUAAUAUUAAUGCUCACCUGGGAUAGGCACUACAUGAUUUAUCUGCUCUUUUACUGUGAAGUUGCUUUGUGCAUGAGUUACACCUCCCCUGCACACCCUCAACAUUUGUUGCUCUGUUUUUCUUGUGUCCAGACGAGGAUAUUAAUUGGAGGCUGACAAAACGACUGCUAGCCAAGGAUUUACAAGGUCCUGGUUUGAGGCUUUCACGAAAGUAUUUUUGAAAAGAUACACAUAGAGAUUGCGCGUUCGGUGCAAUGCAACAAUGUGAGCCAUUCUGAAGUCUUAAAUUUCAGAUUAAUGAAUGCUACAAAAUUCUAAGAAGGGCCGUUUCCAAAUAUUUGAGUUCAUUCAUCCGAACAUCGGGUAUAUGCUUCUUUCUCUAGCCCCUCCUUGAAGGGAGGAGGGACAAUGUGAUCUGUAUCGUUAGAAGCUAUUCCAUGUCGUCAUCUUUGGGCUCAGUUCAAUACUAAAAGAUAUGGGCGGGGCCCUUAUCAUUUUAUAUUUCUUCUAGAAGGUUUAUUCUGGAAAUCUUUCACAGAAACAUAUCUUUUUCUUCUCUACGUGAUCCGUGGUUUGAAAGUUGGAAAAAUGGGUCCGUUAACAAGCCACCGAGUUGAAAAGUUGGAAAAAUGGCAACACCGCCAACCUCUUGUAUUCGAUAGUUAAAUAAAAGGUCACUGGAAGUGAGAUCCCUUUUGGCCUCUUGAUUUUCAUUCCAGCAUCUCUAUGGCCUGAUAAAUUAAAAAACUAAAAAAAAAGACAGUACGUGGGUUGGUGUUAAGCAUCAAGAGUCAAGACAUGAUAAUGGAGAGAAAGGAUAUUCAAAUUCCAGUUCUGACAACAUGAUUUUCUUUGCUGAACUACCAUAUUAUAUUUGAUCAAGAAAGAGUAGUGCAUGUGGCCAGGAUCAAGACAUACAUUAAUUUCCACAUGAUGAAGACAGUUUCUGAGAGUUUCUUCUAAAGCUCUUGCGCGAGUAGGCUUCAAGUCAAAAUCUCCCAUGUAAACACUGGUUUUUCUUUCAUUGCCACUAAGGAUGCAGUUAAUAUUGACUUAAGAUCCUACGUGAUAUAUUUUUUUAAAAGAGCUAUAUUGUAGAUAAUAUUUGAAAUAAUGUUGAUUCGUUGUGGAAAUAUAUUUGUAAGGAAAGUUGUUGACAAUUUAAUAUAGUAUAAGAAGAAAAAAGUUAUCAACUAGCUAGAGAUGAGUAUGUAAAGUGAGGCUCACGAUUCAACGCGUAAAUAUAAGAUAUUUUAAGGCUCAAUAGUUAUGAUAUCUAUUUUAUUUUUUGUAUCUCAUAUAUUCAAAGAUAUAGUAAAAUGAUUUUACAUAUAUAUAUAUAUAUAUAUAUGAACAUAACUAUUUGUGCCAAUUGAUUUUUAUCUUUAUUUUGUAUAUUAGUAAUUAUAUUAAAGUUUUUACUAAUAUAAUAACUAAUAUAAAAGCUUUUUCUAAAAGAGUCAACAGAGCAAAACACUUAUUAUAAAAAAUAAUUUUGAUUGAAGGUGGAGUCAAUUAUUCUUUAUUUAACAUGUAAUGCAUACGGCGUGUACUUCAUAACUAAAGUAUAUAAGUGUAACAUCUCUUAUAUAUUCUCAUUCAAUCUCGAAAGUGGAAAUUUUAAAAAGAUUAAACGGUUCAAAUUUGUCGUGCAUAAAGGGGAUCAUGUCACAUAAGCAAACCAUGGCAUACCAAAGACAUAGGUAUGGACUAAGAAUUUUUUUCAAAUAAGUUUCUUAUUAGGGUACAUUAAUAGGUGACUUUUUAUGACAUAUCAAAGGAGUCAAGUGCACCAAUAAAAACAUAUAUAGAAAAUUCAUGCAUGACAUGUAUCACUAAGAGAAGAUUGACUUGAUAGAGUUUAAUCCAAAUAGGAGAUUGUUAAAAGGUGUCUCAAAUUCUUGAUUGAUAUAUAUUUUUUUUAUUAAAAAGGUUAUUAUAUAGAUAUUUCAAUAGACUAUUAAUUCUUUGUAAAAAUAGUUAUAUAAUGAGGAUGGUGAUUAAAAAUAUCUCUAUCAAUAUUUUGGAUUAUAAAAAGAAAAAAAAUGAGAUAAUGAUAAACAUAUAAAACUUGUACAAGUAGAUAAAGAUGUGAUGAAAGACACUUGAUGAAUGAAGGCUUUGUAUUUCAAGAUAUAAAUAUAUGGAGCAAAACUCUUAAUUAUAUGAUCAAAUGAUUCUCUCAUAUUCAUGAAUAUAAGCAGGAUUGGGGAACCAUGAUAGAAUCUUAUAUGCCUCUCCAUGUAGAGUGAUCGAUGUUUAUCUUCAUAUUUUACACCAGUGAAUGACAUUGAAACUCUUAUUGAUAAAAGGGAAAAGGCAUGGCCUCCACCCCAAGAAAAACAAGUAACCUCGGUUUAAAUCACUAGUCUACACCCCGAAGAGAGAACUAGCCAAACCUACUAAAAGAGAAACUUAACAAUUUAGAAAGAAACCGUCCAUGAUAAAGGGCCCCUAAAGGUCCAAUUCAGUGAGGUCGUGAACAAAAACACUUUCAUGUCAAAACAGAGAUAGGUACCACCAAAAUGUAAAGGGAAAGAUGUAAACCACGUCGAACUUUGGUAAUCAAUGGUAAAGAUAGCAUGAUAGCUAAAAGCACUAAAGCUGUGCUUGGUAUGCAAAAAUGAAAAGUGGAAAUCAGCGUCUUAUUCUUUUUCACCUUUAUUCACAUAUUAGGAUAACUAAUAUCUAAUGUUUUUUAUGUCUCAAAUUCUAUUCCAUGUUAUGGUAAACUUUCAUCUUGUUUAGAUCACUUUUGUCUGGUUUGGGCUCAAGACGAUAAGCCUAUAGAGACUUCAUAUUGGGUUGAAUCGAUGCCCUUGAUCUGAUCUGUUCGUUAGAAAAAUCUGAAUUAUUAUAAGCAUUUAGAUAAAAAAUAAAUAAAUGUGAAACACAAACUACUCCCUGCACAACCUUGACCCUAGUUACUCAGUUUCACUGCUCACAGGACUAACCUCUCCAUUCAGUCGAAAUGAAUUGUAACAAGAAGAUUUUUGACAGGAGGACGGUAGUUUAAAAUAAUAAUUUCUAAAGUACUUUUGUGAAAAAAAAUAAUUCCAAACGUGGAUUUUAUCAAGUAAAAAGAAAAAAAAAAGUUAUUUUCUUUUAAAAUCUGUUCUUCUAAAGAUGAUAUAUAUACCAAAAAAAAAAAUUGUUUUCUGAAGGUAAAAUUUUUAAAAUUCAUUUUUAAAAAAAUUUACACACUAAAAUUAUCUUUUCAAGAGAAGAUUUUUUUAAUUUUAAAUAAUUAUUAAUUUAUAAUUAAUUUGUUAUUAAUUAUUUAUUAAUUUUUUUAUUUGAAAAAUGCAUUUAUAAAAAACAAAUUUGUUAUUAAUUUAUUAAAUAAUUUUUACAAAAUAAAUAAUUUUUUUUUAUUUUAAUUUUAAAAUUAAUUUUAUUAUAUAAAUUUUAAAAUUAAAAAUAUUAAUAUUUAAUUUAAAAUUUAACUAUAAAAGGAAUAAAAUAUAGAAAAAUAAAUUAAUUUAUUAUUCAAUAAAUUAAUUUUCAAUAAAAUUUUCAGCAUUAAGAGAUAAAUUUUUAAGUAUUAAUCAAUUUAAAAAGAAAUAAUGAUCAUUUGUAUAUUAAGAUAUUUUAUUUAGUAAUUAUGAAUGAUAAACAACUAAAGUAAUUUGAAAAAAUAAUAAAAUAUUUAAAAAAUAAUAAUUUAAUACACGUAAAAUUAGAAAUGAUUAACUAUUUUUUAUUAAGAAAAAAUUGAGGAAAUAUUUUGUUAUUUAAAAUUUUUUAUUUGUUUUCAAUUUUUAAUGUUAUAGGUUUCAAGAAAAUUGAUCAAAUAAAAAUUAAGAAGUCAUUUUUUCAAAAACUAUAUAUCUAAAUAAAAGCCUUGAAAUUCAAAUACACAAUAUCAUAAAUAUAAACACCAAGUCAAUCCUUAAUUAUCAAAUGUUUUUAAUAUUAAAGAAUCAAAAUCACCUACUAUCAUGAUAAUAAGAAAACCAAUAAUAUUGUUCAUAUAAAUACUAAAAAGCUAACAAAUAUCCCAAACAAUUAAUAAAGUAUCAAACAUGAUAAAAAGUCAAUUAUUAUCAUGAAUGCAAAAAAUCAAUAAUUUUGUUUAUAUGAACCAUCAACAAAGAAAAAAAAAAUCAAUAUCUAAAUAUUAAACAUAAUUUAUAUUUUUAUAAAUAUUAUUGUUGAUAAAUAUCUUAACAAUUAUAAUUUUAGUAAAUAAAAUUAAUUAAUUUUAGUUUAAGAAUUAUUUUUUUAUACUUUCGUAUUCUUAUCAAAAAUCCCCAUUUUGCAUGUCUCCUUUGGCAUGACUUUCUUACCUAAACAAGCAUAUAUAUAUAUAUAUAUAUAUAAAAUAUUUGGUUAAGAAAGAGUACUAAAGUUUAUAUGGCACACAUCAAGAUAGAAACAGAAGUGGAAGAUAAUCCAAAUGUAUGAACAGAUAUAUUAUAUCCAUGUAGUGGUAGUGACUUCAUUAUUUACUUUUAUCUAAUGGAGCAUGACACACUUCUUCUGAAUAUUUUGCACGAUUAUGUUAUGUGUCAGCUUGUUCUAAGUCAAAACUAGUGAUAAAAAUCGGUUUUUUUUGCAUUUCCUUCAUGAAGAUGGCACCUGGAUGGGGCACUACAUGAGUGGCAUAGCACGAAGUGAUUUAUCUGCUCCCUUUACUAUAAAGUGCUUUGUGUAUAAGUUACACCUCCCCUGCACUGCCUCAACAUUUGUUGUUCUGUCUUCCGUCUGUCCAAACGAGGACAAACGUAUGUUGUAGGUUGACAAAACCACAGCUAGCCUAGGAUUUGCAAGGAUCUAGUUUGAUUCGUAUGCAAAAGGAUUGGUGAAAAGAUUCACAAAGAUAAUGCUUUUUGCAAUGCAAUCUUGUUCUAAUUCAACAGUGUGGACCAUUUUCAUGUAAUGCUUCAACUAGAUGUCAGUUUCAUGAAUUUUUGUUCAUCUAAUUGAUCACUGGAUAGGCCAUAACCCGAAGAAAUUCAAAAUUCCCUUCAGUACUGUAGCUAAGGAAAGAUCCCUAUCUACCACUGGGAUUUUAAGAGGGUAAAAAUGUAGGUGGGUGCCUAUAUCAUUUGCACUUCACUAUAGGCCUCUUUGGGAAGAUUUCUUCUGAAGACAUUUCAAAGAAACAUAUUUUUCUCUUCUCUCCGUAAACGGCAGCUGCAAGUCAGUCCAUUCACAGGCCACCGAGUUGAAAAGGCUGGAAAAUUGGCCAAAGCACCCGCCUCCUGGAUUCCAUGGGUAAGGAAAAGGUCACUGGAGGUGUGAUCCCUGUUGGCCUCUUGAUUUCCAUUCCGCCAUCUAUAUGACCUGAUAACCCAAAAACACAGAAGGAAAACGUCACCUGGGUUCAUAGUAAGCAUCAAGUCAUGAUAGAGACCAGACAACAUGACCAACAAAGAGUAGCGAAUGGGGCCAACAUCAAGCCCCAUUACGGUUAGAAGAUGGAAGAAGUAGAAGACAAUCCAAUUCUGAUAGAUUCGGGCAAAUGUAGUGCUGUUCAAACUUAAUCAUUUACUAUUUCUUCAUGAAUCACGGCAUUUUUCUUCUGAAAAUUUUCCAAGAUUAGGCCUCUGAAGAAAAAUUUCAUAUGUAAAUUGGUAUAUUAAGGAAAAGGCGUUACAAAGGUGAAAAAAAACCAAUCAAAUCUUAUAUAUGACAUCUCAAAAAUAUGAACUUGCUAUAAAUAUUUAAAAUCAAAAUCUUGCACAUCACCUCGUAGUACGAACUUGCUAUAAAACUUGAAAAUCAAGAAGAAAGGGGCAGUAUUGGACGAGACUACUUAGCACAUAUUAUUAUGAUGUUUUUUCAUUUUCUUAAUGUUGUUUUUAUGUCUUAAAUUCUAUUAUUCUAUGUUACGGUAAACAUUCAUCUUGUUUGUGUGGAAUAGGAUCACUUUUCUCUGGGUUGAGUCGAUGCCCUUAGUUAAUUUGUUCAUUUGAAUAAACUAAAUUAUUAUAAGUAUUUAGAUAAGAAAAACGUGAUACAUAAAUUACGCCUCUCGGCACAACUUCAACACUGGUUACUCUGUUUCAGUUUCCUCACACAAGAUUAUUGGUUCUAGGGUUUAUUUGGUUUUGGUUUGAUUCUAAUUGCUAAACUUUCUCAAGGAAGAUGUUAUAUAGGGAGUGAGAAACCUUCACUCUUGGCUACCUCCAAGAGAAGAGCAAGUGGUCUGAAUCAAAGAUAUACUGCUCACUUUUUCUUCUUCUAAGGACAGCUAUGACCUUGCUUUAAGGUUCGAAUAGCCUAAUGCAACCUCCCAUUUCUCAAGUCAGCUGAUGAUGUAAGUCACCUUGGCUUUCCACAUUCAUACGGUGAGGACGUUUGUGGGUGUAAUUCUCUUAACAGUUUUCAUUUUAUAUGGAAAAAUUCAUAAUUAAGGGUAAUUACUGAUUCCAUUUGACAGUGACCAAGUUUAAAAUAUUAAUUCAUAUAUUAAAUGCACAUUAAAAAAUCAUGGAAUAAAUAUAUUUACUAAUAUAUAGUUCUUUUGCCAUGUUCUGUCACAGAAGCAUCGAACUUUCCCUAGAAAUUUUUGCAUGGUAUUCUACUUAUGAUUUUGAAAACUCUAGGCACCUGAGGCCACUAAUUGCAUGGUUGGAUGAGGAGCUGCAUGAGAUUAUGUAUCGUGUUGUUCCUUAACUACAAAUAUCAGUUUUAAGUAGCAUCUCCAUGUGACAUUUUCCUGAUGCAAUUUCGCUGUCCACCAACAAAUUUCACCAUGCAGCAAGAUGAAUUGUAAUUUCUUUAUUGUUAUCAACAGCUUUAAUUAAUCUUGAUAUAUAUAUAUAACUUAGUAGAAGUAUAUUAAUCUAGAUUGUAGUUGCACUAAGAUAAUAGGCAAUAUUAUAACAGUGCCACAAUGCUCAUCGCCAAAUAGAAAGGUAGAAAAACUACAAUGAGUAACUCACAACAUUCUCAAACAGGACAUAGCGGCGACUGAUACAUAGAACACUAUUGGCACUCAGGAAAUGAUAAGAUCAGUGCCCAGCAGGCAGCACGUCUUAUUUUACAUACUACUUAAAACUAACCAAAGUCAUUCAGUUGGGAUGGGUGGGAGAUGGUGGUUUGUGCGGUGGCUUUUGGGUAGUUGGUGGCUUCUUUCCUGGAACUGAUGGUUUUUUUGUUGGAGUUGAAGGAGGCUUAAUCGUCUGAGGUGGCUUGUAUGAGUCUUCAGCACUCUCUGCGGGAGGGUGCCCAGGGUUGUGACCAUAAUGGGGUGGCUUCUCUCCCUUAGUUGGUUUGCCAAGUGGGCUGGCUGGCUUGUGCUCCGGGAGCGGCUUCUCUCCCUUAGGUGGUUUGCCAAAUGGGCUUGCUGGCUUGUGCUCUGGGAGCGGCUUCUCUCCCUCAAGAAGUUUACGGGUUUUGUCAGAUGGCUUGUGUUCUGGUGGUGGCUUCUCUCCUUGGGGUGGUUUGCCAAAUGGACUUGGUGGCUUGUGUUCGGGGAGUGGCUCCUCUCCCUUGGGAGGUUUAGUUGGUGGCUGGUGUUCCAUAGGUGGUUUCUCAACCGGGGGCUUGUUCUCCGUUGGUGGUUUAUGAACUGGGGGAUGCUUGGGGUAGUCAGCAAGAGACGGGGUGGUGAGAACCACCAGUCCCAGCAGCAACACUAGCAAGUAUGUGGAAGAGUACAUCUUUGAGUUCAGGCUGAGAUUUGUGCGAGACUUGAAGAAUUAGGUGGCCUUUUAUAGCUGGCUGCACCCAACACUCACAUGACACGUAUCAUGGUGACACAUGUGCUAUGGGUCCAUUUGGGUCCUACAGAAGCUGAAAACUUUUGACUAUUGAGGUGUGGUCACAACUUUUGUCCCUAUUGCUUUCUCCGCAACCGUUUUACAUGUUUCCUUUGGCAUAAUUUUCUAAGCUAAACAAGCAUAUAUCAUAUUUGGUUAAGAAAGAGUAAAGUGUAUAUGGCACACAUCAAGGAAGAGAAACAGAAAAAGUGGGAGACAAUCAAUUGUGAUAAACAGAUAUAUUAUAUUCAUGUAGUACUAGUGACUUUAUCAUUUACUUUUAUCCAAUAGAUCAUCACUCUUUCUUCUAAAUAUUUUGGAGGAUAAUGGUACAUGUUGCUUGUUUCCAAGUCAAAAUUGGUGGCAAAAAUCGGCAUGAUACGAAAGGAUUGGUGAAAAGAUUCACAUAGAUGGUGCUUUGUGCAAUGCAGUCUUGCUCUAAUUCAACAGAGUGGACCAUGGUGAUGUAUUUUAAAUUUUAAAUUUUAAAUUAAUGCAUGCUUCAAAGUUUUAACUAGAUGUCACUUCCAUGGAUUUUUGUUCAUUUAAUUGAGCACAGGAUAGGCUAUCAAACUUGAAGUAAUAUAAAAAUCCCUUCAUUACUGUAACUAAUGAAAGAUCAUUAUCUGCGCUUGGUAUUUUGCCAAGGUAUUUGCUGCUCUUUCUAGCCCUGUCUUACAGUUAAGGACAAUGUGAUCUAGUUAACCUUAGAAGCUAUUCCAUGUCAGAUACAAGAGAUCAAGCACAUUAUCUUUGGGCUCAGUUCAAAACUAUAAUAUAUGGGUGGGGUGGAGGCCCAUAUCAUUUGCAUAUCACCACUAUUGGUUUAGUUUGGAAGGUUUCUUCUGGAAGAUUGCUGCUUUCUGGAAUCAUUUCAAAGAAAUAUAUCUUUUUGUUCUCUUGGUGACGAGCAGCGGCAAUCAAGUCUGUUGACAAACAACCGAGUUGAAAAGUUUGAAAAUUGGUCACAGCCCACGUCCAUGGUUAAGGAAAAGGUCACUGGAAGUGAUCCCUUCUGGGCCUCUUGAUUUCCAUUCUGACAUCUAUAUGACCUGAUAAAUAGAAAGAAAAAAAAACAGAAGAAAAGCGGCACCCGGGUUCAUAGUAAGCAUCAAGACAGGAUACUGAAAGAAGGGAGAAAGGAGAUUGCAAGUCCAAUCCUGAUAAAAUGAUCAACAAAGAGUAUCAAAAUGGGGCCAACAUAAAGACCCAUUGAGGUUAGCAGAUGGCAUGGCAUUUUUCUCCUUAAGUUUUCCAUGAUUAGACUUGAAGUCAAAAUUUCACAUGUAAAUUUGUAUUUCUACAUUUCCCACUGACGACACCCAACUUCAACUUGAGUUAGAAUAACAUUGUGUGAACUUAUCUGGCCCUCAAAAUUUACUGUGAAGUGCUUUCUGCGUGUGAAGAUUCAGAAAAGCACCAAGGGAACAUGUAUGGUCUGCCUUUUUCUGAUGUUAUGUUUGUCUCUAAUUCUGUUCCAUGUCAUGGUAAAUGUUCACAUUGCUUGUAUGGAACACACCAGGAUCACUUUUUCGGGUUUAUUUUGAGGCUUCAUAUUGGGUUCAUAUUGGGUUCAAUGCUUUUAAUGUGUUCAUUAGACAAAUCUGAAUUAUCAUAUGCAUUUAGAUAAGAACAAUAAUGUGAAACCCUAGUUACACCUCCCCUGCAUAACCCCAACCCUGCUUACUCUAUUUCAGUUUACUCACACAAGUUUUACCGGUUCUUAUAAGUCAAGAAAAGGCAACUGAUGUUGGAUUGACUCUCUUCCAUGUAUAAAAAGCAACUUUUAUAUAUACAUAAAAUAACUUCUUCCCCUCACCAAUGUGGGAUAUCAUGGAUUUAUUCUGGAAACACAUCAAAGGAACAUCUUUUCUCUUGGGUGACCCUAAGUGGUGAGUCAGACCAUUUGCAUGCCAUUGAGUUGCACAGUUGGAUAAAUGCACCUACCUCCUGGGCUCCAGAGUUAAAAGGGUGGAUCCCUGGAUCGCAACCCUCUUGGCAUCUUGGUUUCCAUUCCAACAUCCACAUGACUUGACAAAACAAAAAACAGAAUAAAAUCAUCACUAUUUUCAUGCUAAGCACCAAUACAUGAUGGAAAUCAUUGCUUAAAGAUUUGGGGUCAUUUAGGUUUUGACUGCCUCCUAACACCUCACCUAAUCACAAGUUUUUAUGCUUACAAAUCAAAUAUCGUUCUUCAUUAUAUUAAAAUCAUUUUAAGAUUUCAGAUCCAUCUGCUAAUUAUGAUUAUGAUAACAUUAAUUCACCUGUGCUUCUCAUUUUCGACACACAAGGCAUCUAGGUUUGCAGGAUUUCCUUAUUAGAUGAGAUAAAUGAGUACGCAUGGUUAUGUAUGCAGCAUUCAUUAACCAUGGUAUGUGACAUUUAGAAUUAAGAUAGCAAGCAAACUUUCCCUGCAGCUUGAGUAAAUUGUGAUUUCUUAGCCUCUAUGAGUGGUUCCCAAAUCAAAUUAACAUAGUGAAAUAUACGUAGUCCAGUGAAAGGAAAUGUAAAUUAUAAACUAACAGCACUACACUACUGGUAACACUCGAUACUCUCUAUAUAAUGCAAUGAAAUAUACGUUAUACGUUGCUUGUUCCAAGUCAAAAUUUGUGGCCAAACGUUGGCCUUUUUUCAUUUUCCCUAAGAUUAAUGCUCACCUGGGAUAGGCACUACAUGAUUUAUCUGCUCUUUUACUGUAAAGUUGCUUUGUGUAUGAGUUACACCUCCCCUGCACACCCUCAACAUUUGUUGCUCUGUUUUCCUUGUGUCCAGACGAGGAUAUUAAGUGGGGGCUGACAAAACGACUGCUAGCCAAGGAUUUACAAGGUCCUGGUUUGACGCUUCCGCGAAAGUAUUUUUGAAAAUAUACACAUAGAGAUUGCGCGUUCGGUGCAAUGCAACAAUGUGAGCCAUUCUGAAGUUUUUAAUUUCAGAUUAAUGAAUGCUACAAAAUUCUAAGAAGGGCCGUUUCCAAAUAUUUGAGUUCAUUUAUCCGAACAUCGGAUAAGUAAUGAUCAUAGAUUAUUAUUAUUAUCUGACGUUCUUAUAAUGGUUGGCAUUAUAAGAGGGUAUAUGCUUCUUUCUCUAGCCCCUCCUUCAAGGGAGGGACAAUGUGAUCUGUAUCGUUAGAAGCUAUUCCAUGUCGUCAUCUUUUGGCUUAAGUCAAUACUAAAAUAUAUGGGCGGGGCCCCUGUCAUUUUAUAUUUCUUCUAGAAGGUUUGUUCUGGAAAUCUUUCACCGAAACAUAUCUUUUUCUUCUCUACGUGAUCCGUGGUUGGAAAGUUAGAAAAAUGGGUCCGUUCACAAGCCACCGAGUUGAAAAGUUGGAAAAAUGGCAACACCGCCAACCUCUUGUAUUCGAUAGUUAAAUAAAAGGUCACUGGAAGUGAGAUCCCUUUUGGCCUCUUGAUUUUCAUCCCAGCAUCUCUAUGUCCUGAUAAACUAAAAAACUAAAAAAAAAACAGUACGUGGGUUGGUGUUAAGCAUCAAGAGUCAAGACAUGAUAAUGGAGAGAAAGGAUAUUCAAAUUCCAGUUCUGACAACAUGAUUUUCUUUCCUGAACAACCAUGUUAUAUUUGAUCAAGAAAGAGUAGUGCAUGUGGCCAGGAUCAAGACAUACAUUAAUUUCCACAUGAUGAAGACAGUUUCUGAGAGUUUCUUCUAAAGCUCUUGCGCUAGUAGGCUUCAAGUCAAAAUUUCCCAUGUAAACACUGGAUUUUCUUUAAUUGCCACUAAGGAUACAGUUAAAAUUGACUUAAAAUCCUACGUGAUAUAUAUCUUUAACAAAAGUAUAUUGUAUAUAAUAUUUGAAAUAAUGUUGAUUCGUUGUGGAAAUAUGUUUGUAAGGAAAGUUGUUGACAAUUUAAUAUAGUAUAAGAAGAAAAAAGUUAUCAACUAGAGAUGAGUAUGUAAAGUGAGGCUCACGAUUCAACGCGUAAAUAUAAGAUAUUUUAAGGCUCAAUAGUUAUGAUAUCUAUUUUAUUUUUUGUAUCCCAUAUAUUCAAAGAUACAGUAAAAUGAUUUUAUAUAUAUGAACAUAGCCGAUAGUAUCAUGUUAAAACCUUAUAUGACUCUUUGUGCCAAUUGAUUUUUAUCUUUAUUUUGUGUAUUAGUAAUUAGUAUUAAAGUUUUUACUAACAUAAUAAUUGAUAUAAAAGCUUUUUCCAAAAGAGUCAAACAGAGCAAAACACUUAUUAUAAAAAGAAUUUUGAUUGAAGGUGGAGUCAAUUAUUCUUUAUUCAACAUGUGAUGCAUACAGCGGGUACUUCAUAACUAAAGUAUAUAAGUGCAACAUCUCUUAUACAUUCUCAUUCAAUCUCGAAAGUGGAAAAUUUUAAAAGAUUAAAUGGUUCAAAUUUUCCGUGCAUAAAGGGGAUCAUGUCACAUAACCAAACCAUGGCAUACCAAAGCCAUGAUAUGGACUAAGAAUUUUGUUAAAAUAAGUUUCUUAUUAGGGCACAUUAUGUGACUAUUUAUGACAUAUCAAAGGAGUCAAGUGCAUCAAUAAAGACAUAGAAAAUUCAUGCAUCACAUGUACCACUAAGAGAAAAUUGACUUGAUAGAGUUUAGUCCAAAUAGGAGAUUGUUAAAAGGUGCAUCAAAUUCUUGAUUGAUAUAUAUUUUUUUUAUUAGAAAGGUUAUUAUAUAGAUAUUUCAAUAGACUAUUAAUCCUUUGUAAAAAUAGUUAUAUAAUGAGGAUGGUGAUUAAAAAUAUCUCUAUCAAUAUUUUGGAUUAUAAAAAGAAAAAAAAUAUGAGAAAAUGAUAAACAUAUAAAACUUGUACAAGUAGAUAGAGAUGUGAUGAAAGACACUUGAUGAAUGGAGGCCUUGUAUUUCAAGAUGUAAAUAUAUGGAGCAAAACUCUUAAUUAUAUGAUCAAAUGAUUCUCUCAUAUUCAUGAACAUAAGCAGGAUUGGGGAACCAUGAUAGAAUCUUAUAUGCCUCUCCAUGUAGAUUGAUCGAUGUUUAUCUUCAUAUUUUACACCAAUGAAUGACAUUGAAACUCUGAUUGAUAAAAGGGAAAAAGCAUGGCCUCCACCACAAGAAAAACAAGUAACCUCGGUCUAAAUCACUAGUCUACACCCCGAAGAGAGAACUAGCCAAACCUACUAAAAGAGAAACUUACCAAUUUAGAAAGAAAUCUUCCAUGAUAAAGGGCCCCUAAAAGUCCAAUUCAGUCAGGUUGUGAACAAAAACACCUUCAUGUCAAAACAGGAAUAGGUACCACCAAAAUGUAAAGGGAAAGAUGUAAACCAAGUCGAACUUUGGUAAACAAUGGUAAAGAUAGCAUGAUAGCUAAAAGCACUAAAGCUGUGCUUGGUAUGCAAAAAUGAAAAGUGGAAAUCAGCGUCUUAUUCUUUUUCUCCUUUAUUCACAUAUUAGGAUAACUAAUAUCUAAUGUUUUUUUUAUGUCUCAAAUUCUAUUCCAUGUUAUGGUAAACUUUCAUCUUGUUUAAGUGGAAGAGUAGGAUCACUUUUGUCUGGUUUGGGCUCAAGACGAUAAGCCUAUAGAGACUUCAUAUUGGGUUGAAUUGAUGCCCUUGAUCCGAUCAGUUCGUUAGAAAAAUCUGAAUUAUUAUAAGCAUUUAGAUAAAAUAAAUAAAUAAAUGUGAAACAGAGACUAUUCUCUGCACAACCUUGACCCUAGUUACUCAGUUUCACUGCUCACGGGACUAACCUCUCCAUUCAGUCGAAAUGAAUUGUAAUUUCUUUACUGGUAGCAGUAGUACUUUUCAUAGCAAAGAUAAUAGUAAAUAUGAAAUAUAAAUAUAUAGAAGGAAAUCUGGAUUGUAGAUAGCACCAUAAGUAACACUCAAUAUUUACUACAUAAUAAAAGAGAUAGUGUUACAAAGGUAGAGAAACCUACAAUGAGUACUCAUCACCAUUCUCAAACAGAAACAUAGCAGUGACUUAUACAUAGAACCUAUAGGCUCGCAGGGAAAGAGUAACAUGAUAAGUGCACAGCGGGUAGCAGCUCUUAUUUUACGUAUUACUCAAAAUCUCAAACUAACCAAAGUCACUCAGUUGGGAUGGGUAGGAGAUGGUGGUUUGUGGGGUGGCUUCUGGGUAGGAGCUGGUGGCUUCUUUGUUGGAGUUGAAGGAGGCGUAAUCUUCUGAGGUGGCUUGUAUGAGUCUUUGGCACUCUCUGCAGGAGGGUGCCCAGGGUUGUGACCGGAAGGAGGUGGCUUCUGUCCCUUUGGUGGUUUGCCUAAUGGGCUUGGUGGCUUGUGCUCCGGGAGUUGUUUCUCUCCCUCGAGUAGGUUUCGAGUUUUGUCAGAUGGCUUGUGUUCUGGUGGUGGCUUCUCUCCCUGGGGUGGUUUGCCGAAUGGGCUUGGUGGCUUGUGUUCGGGGAGUGGCUUCUCUCCCUUGGCAGGUUCAGUUGGUGGCUGGUGCUCCGUAGGUGGUUUCUUCACCGCCGGCUUCUCUCCCUGGAGAAGGUUACGAGUUUUGUCAGAUGGCUUCUGUUCUGGUGGCGGCUUCUCUCCCUGGGGUGGUUUGCCAAAUGGGCUUGGUGGCUUGUGUUCGGGAACUGGCUUCUCUCCCUUGGCAGGUUCAGUUAGUGGCUGGUGUUCCGUAGGUGGUUUCUUCACCGGCGGCUUGUGCUCCGGAAGCGGCUUCUCUACCUGGAGAAGCUUACGAGUUUUGUCAGAUGGCUUGUGUUGUGGUGGUGGCUUCUCUCCCUGGGGUGGUUUGCCAAAUGGACUUGGUGGCUUGUGUUCGGGGAGUGGCUUCUCUCCAUUGGGAGGUUUAGUUGGUGGUUGGUGUUCCGUAGGUGGUUUCUGAAGUGGGGGAUGCUUGGGGUAGUCAGCAAGAGACGAGGUAGUGAGAACCACCAGUCCCAGCAGCAAUACUAGCAAGGAUGUGGAAGACAUCUUUGAGUUCAGGCUGAGAUUUGUGCAAGGCUAGAAGAAUUAGGUGGCCUUUUAUAGCGGGCUGGACCCAACAACCAAAUGACACGUAUCAUGAUACACAUAUGUGUUAUAAGAUCCUUGUGGGUCCUACAGAAGUUGAAAACUUUGACAAUUGAGGUGUGAUUACAACUUUUGUCCCUAUUGCUUUCUCGUCAGCCGUUUUGCAAGAUUUUUGACAGGAGGACGGUAGUUUAAAAUAAUAAUUUCUAAAGUACUUUUGUGAAAAAAAAUAAUUCCAAACGUGGAUUUUAUCAAGUAAAAAAAACAAAAAAAAGUUAUUUUCUUUUAAAAUCUUUUCUUCAUGAUUCAUAUACCAAAAAAAGAAUUGUUUUCUGUAGGUAAAAUUUUUAAAAUUCAUUUUUAAAAAAAAAAAAUUACACACUAAAAUUAUCUCUUCAAGAAAAUAUUUUUUAAAUUUUAAAUAAUUAUUAAUUUAUAAUUAAUUUUUUAUUAAUUAUUUAUUAAAUUUAUAUGUGAAAAAUGCAUUUAUAAAAAACAAAUUUUUUAUUAAUUUAUUAAAUAAUUAUUUACAAAAUAAAUAAUUUUGCUUUAUUUUAAUUUUAAAAUUAAUUUUAUUAUAUAAAUUUUAAAAUUAAAAAUAUUAAUAUUUAAUUUAAAAUUUAACUAUAAAAGGAAUAAAAUAUAGAAAAAUAAAUUAAUUUAUUAUUCAAUAAAUUAAUUUUCAAUAAAAUUUUCAGCAUUAAGAGAUAAAUUUUUAAGUAUUAAUCAAUUUAAAAAAUAAUAAUAAUCAUUUGUAUACUAAGAUAUUUUAUUUAGUAAUUAUGAAUGAUAAACAACUAAAGUAAUUUGAAAAAAUAAUAAAAUAUUUAAAAAUAAUAAUUUAAUACACUUAAAAUUAGAAAUGAUUAACUAUUUUUUAUUAAGAAAAAAUUGAAGAAAUAUUUUGUUAUUUAAAAUUUUUUAUUUGUUUUCAAUUUUAAAUGUUAUAGGUUUCAAGAAAAUUGAUCAAAUAAAAAUUAAGAAGUCAUUUUUUCAAAAACUAUAUAUCUAAAUAAAAGCCUUGAAAUUCAAAUACACAAUAUCAUAAAUAUAAACACCAAGUCAAUCCUUAAUUAUCAAAUGUUUUUAAUAUUAAAGAAUCAAAAUCACCUACUAUCAUGAUAAUAAGAAAACCAAUAAUAUUGUUCAUAUAAAUACUAAAAAGCUAACAAAUAUCCCAAACAAUUAAUAAAGUAUCAAACAUGAUAAAAAGUCAAUUAUUAUCAUGAAUGCAAAAAAUCAAUAAUUUUGUUUAUAUGAACCAUCAACAAAGAAAAAAAAAAUCAAUAUCUAAAUAUUAAACAUAAUUUAUAUUUUUAUAAAUAUUAUUGUUGAUAAAUAUCUUAAUAAUUAUAAUUUUUUAUAUAUUAAAUUUAGUAAAUAAAAUUAAUUAAUUUUAUAAUAUAAGAUAUAUAUAAUAAUUAAGAGACUAUUUGUCCCAAACAAUUUAUUUAUUUUUUUUUUAGGAAAUUGUCUCUUCAAGAGACGACUUCUCCCAACAUUUUUAAAAAAAAAAAAAAAAACAUCUAUUCAAAAGACGAUUUCUCCUCAUUUUUUAAAAAUGAAUUUUAGAAAUCAUAUUUUCAAAAAUGAAUUUUAGAAAUCAUAUUUUCAAAAGACGAUUUUUUUUUAUAUAAAUUAUUUUUUAAAAUGACGAUUUUAAAAGGAAAUAACGAUCUCUCUCCUACUUGGCAAAAACUAUGGUAAAUUUGGAAUUAUUUCUUCCACAACCAUAGUUUAAGAAUUAUUUUUUUAUACUUUCGUAGACUUAUCAAAAAUCCCUAUUUUGCAUGUCUCAUUUGGCAUGACUUUCUUACCUAAACAAGCAUAUAUAUAUAUAUAUAUAUAUAUAUCACUUUUGUCUGGGUUGAGUCAAUGCCCUUAACUAAUUUGUUCAUUUGAAUAGUCUAAAUUAUUAUAAGCUUUUAGUUAAGAAAAAUGUGAAACAUAAAUUACACCUCUCGGCACAACUUCGACACUGGUUACUCUGUUUCAGUUUAUUCACACAAGAUUAUUGGUUCUAGGGUUUAUUUGGUUUUGGUUUGAUUCUAAUUGCUAAACUUUCUCAAGGAAGAUGUUAUAUAGGGAGUGAGAAACCUUCACUCCUGGCUACCUCCAAGAGAAGAGCAAGUGGUCUGAAUCAAAGAUAUACUGCUCACUUUUUCUUCUUCUAAGGACAGCUAUGACCUUGCUUUAAAAUGUUCGAAUAGCCUAAUGCAACCUCCCAUUUCUCAAGUCAGCUGAUGAUGUAAGUCACCUUGGCUUUCCACAUUCAUACGGUGAGGACGUUUGUGGGUGUAAUUCUCUUAACAGUUUUCAUUUUAUAUGGAAAAAUUCAUAAUUAAGGGUAAUUACUGAUUCCAUUUGACAGUGACCAAGUUUAAAAUAUUAACUCAUGUAUUAAAUGCACAUUAAAAAAUCAUGGAAUAAAUAUAUUUACUAAUAUAUAGUUCUUUUGUCAUGUUCUGUCACAGAAGCAUCGAACUUUCCCUAGAAAUUUUUGCAUGGUAUUCUGCUUAUGAUUUUGAAAACUCUAGGCACCUAAGGCCACUGAUUGCAUGGUUGGAUGAGGAGCUGCAUGAGAUUAUGUAUCCUGUUGCUCCUUAACUACAAAUAUCAGUUUUAAGUAGCAUCUCCAUGUGACAUUUUCCUGAUGCAAUUUCGCUGUCCACCAACAAAUGUCUCCAUGCAGCUAGAUGAAUUGUAAUUUCUUUGUUGUUAUCAACAGCUUUAAUUAAUCUUGAUAUAUAUAUAACUUAGUAGAAGUAAUUAAUCUAGAUUGUAGUUGCACUAAGAUAAUAGGCAAUAUUAUAACAGUGCCACAAUGCUCAUCGCCAAAUAGAAAGGUAGAAAAACUACAAUGAGUAACUCACACAACAUUCUCAAACAGGACAUAGCGGCGACUGAUACAUAGAACACUAUUGGCACUCAGGAAAUGAUAAGAUCAGUGCCCAGCAGGCAGCACGUCUUAUUUUACAUACUACUUAAAACUAACCAAAGUCAUUCAGUUGGGAUGGGUGGGAGAUGGUGGUUUGUGCGGUGGCUUCUUUCCUGGAACUGGUGGUUUUUUUGUUGGAGUUGAAGGAGGCUUAAUCGUCUGAGGUGGCUUGUAUGAGUCUUCAGCACUCUCUGCAAGAGGGUGCCCAGGGUUGUGACCAUAAUGAGGUGGCUUCUCUCCCUUAGGUGGUUUGCCAAGUGGGCUGGCUGGCUUGUGCUCCGGGAGCGGCUUCUCUCCCUUAGGUGGUUUGCCAAAUGGGCUUGCUGGCUUGUGCUCUGGGAGCGGCUUCUCUCCCCCAAGAAGUUUGCGGGUUUUGUCAGAUGGCUUGUGUUCUGGUGGUGGCUUCUCUCCUUGGGGUGGUUUGCCAAAUGGACUUGGUGGCUUGUGUUCGGGGAGUGGCUCCUCUCCCUUGGGAGGUUUAGUUGGUGGCUGGUGUUCCGUAGGUGGUUUCUCAACCGGGGGCUGGUGCUCCGUAGGUGGUUUAUGAACUGGGGGAUGCUUGGGGUAGUCAGCAAGAGACGGGGUGGUGAGAACCACCAGUCCCAGCAGCAACACUAGCAAGUAUGUGGAUGACAUCUUUGAGUUCAGGCUGAGAUUUGUGCAAGACUAGAAGAAUUAGGUGGCCUUUUAUAGCUGGCUGCACCCAACACUCACAUGACACGUAUCACGGUGACACAUGUGCUAUGGGAUCCAUUUGGGUCCUACAGAAGUUGAAAACUUUUGACUAUUGAGGUGUGAUCACAACUUUUGUCCCUAUUGCUUUCUCCGCAACCGUUUUACAUGUUUCCUUUGUGGUGUUUAAUAGUGUUUUUUUCCUUAAUUCUAAAUAAACCUUAAUACUUAAUAAUGUUAAAUAUUAGGUUAUUUAUUUUUAUAAUAUUUUAUUUAUAUUAAGUAUUAAAAAGUAAAGAAAAAUCAAUAUAUUUAUUUUUCUAUUUAGAAAAAACUAUAUAUUUUUAAUUUUUUUAUUUAAUAAAAAAUUUAUAAUAAAUCAUGAAAAAAUAGAAAAACAAACAACCUAAAUUUUAAAAAUAAAUUGUUUUUAGUAAAAACCCAAAAAAACAAACACCACCUUAACUAAACAAAUAUAUAUUAUAUUUAGUUAAGAAAGAGUAAAGUGUAUAUGGCUCAAAUCAAGGAAGAGAAACAGAAUAAGUGGAAGACAAUCAAUUGUGAUAAACAGAUAUAUUACAUGCAUGUAGUACUAGUGACUUUAUCAUUUACUUUUAUACAAUAGAUCAUCACACUCUUUCUUCUAAAUAUUUUGGAGGAUAAUGGUACAUGUUGCUUGUUGCCAAGUCAAAAUUGGUGGCAAAAAUCGGCAUGAUACGAAAGGAUUGGUGAAAAGAUUCACAUAGAUGGUGCUUUGUGCAAUGCAGUCUUGCUCUAAUUCAACAGAGUGGACCAUGGUGAUGUAUUUUAAAUUUUAAAUUUUAAAUUAAUGCAUGCUUCAAAGUUUUAACUAGAUGUCACUUCCAUGGAUUUUUGUUCAUUUAAUUGAGAACAGGAUAGGCUAUCAAACUUGAAGUAAUAUAAAAAUCCCUUCAUUACUGUAACUAAUGAAAGAUCAUUAUCUGCGCUUGGUAUUUUGCCAAGGUAUUUGCUGCUCUUUCUAGCCCUAUCUUACAGUUAAGGACAAUGUGAUCUAGUUAACCUUAGAAGCUAUUCCAUGUCAUAUACAAGAGAUCAAGCACAUUAUCUUUGGGCUCAGUUCAAAACUAUAAUAUAUGGGUGGGGUGGGGGCCUAUACCAUUUGCAUAUCACCACUAUUGGUUUAGUUUGGAAGGUUUCUUCUGGAAGAUUGCUUUCUGGAAACAUUUCAAAGAAAUAUAUCUUUUUGUUCUCUUGGUGACGAGCAGCGGCAAUCAAGUCUGUUGACAAACAACCGAGUUGAAAAGUUUGAAAAUUGGUCACAGCCCACGUCCAUGGUUAAGGAAAAGGUCACUGGAAGUGAUCCCUUCUGGGCCUGUUGGAAGCAGGGGAGGUUAACACACCAAGCAACAAAGAACAGAGAUAUGCUGCUACUGAUCUAUAUUUUUUAUUUGAUCAUAAGGCUAAAUUUAUACAGAUUGUGUAACAGAUAUGACCUCAAAAAAAAGCAUCAAAUCAAGCUACUUGUUGAACAAACAACUACCUUCUACAAAAUAACAUCAAAAUUUAACUUAAAAGCAAAAACAUAAAAAUAGCAACAGCAAAAAUAGAAACAUAAAAAUAGCUUCAGCAUUCUAGUAAUCUCGUUGACUUCAAUUGCAUGUGGUUGACGAUUUCAGCCUUUUCCUCAGCAGCUACUAAGGCAUAACUCUCAACACUCCUCCUUGACUUAGGAGGUGCAAACUCCAAGUCUUUCUCAUAGAAACUCAAAUCUUAUUUUAGGAAGAGCUUUAGUCAGAAUAUCUACAUUUUGACUGUCUGUAUUGCAGUAGACUAGUUGUAUAUCUCCUUCUUUCUGUACUUCCCUCAAAAAUUACAAUUUAAUCUUGAAGUGCUUUGUUUUACCAUGAAAAACUGGAUCAUUUGCAAUAGAUAUAGUGGCCUGGUUGUCUACAAACACCUUUGUACUCACUUCUUGCUUCAUAUCCAAAUCUGUCAGCAACUUUCCAAGCCAUAAGGCUUGAUUUACAGCUGUAACAGCAGCAAUAUACUCUGCCUCAGCUGUGGAUUG